UGGUCUCCUCGGCUGCCACCUUCACCCGGGCUUCCCCGGCUCAAUCCAGCAUGGUGGCGCCGUUCACCGGCCUCAAGUCCGCCUCCGCCUUCCCUGUCACCAGGAAGCCCAACGCCGACCUCUCCCACCUCCCCAGCAAUGGCGGCCGAGUUCAGUGCAUGAAGGUACGCACGUACAAGGCUCGUGGCUCGAGUCGGAAACCUCUGUUACCGAGAUAGCCGUUACGAAUCAUAUACUGUGGAUGUAAUUCUUACGACAGGUGUGGCCGAUCGAGGGCAUGAAGAAGUUUGAGACCCUGUCCUACCUUCCGACACUGAAGGACGAGGAGUUGCUGAAGCAGAUCGAGUACCUUCUCCGCUCCAAAUGGAUUCCCUGCUUGGAGUUCUGCCCCGUAAGUAACUUCACCUGCCCCAUGGUGGGCAUCCGGUAACCUUGAUAUCCAGCAUGCAUACCGGGGAUUGAAGUCGAUCGUAAUGACCAUAACAGAAAGGGUUCGUGUGGCGCGAGAACCACCGGUCGCCGGGGUACUACGACGGGCGGUACUGGACCAUGUGGAAGCUGCCCAUGUUCGGGUGCACCGACGCUGUGCAGGUGGCGAAGGAGGUGGAGGAGUGCAAGAAGGAGUACCCCCACGCCUUCAUCCGCAUCAUCGGCUUCGACAACAACCGCCAGGUGCAGUGCAUCAGUUUCAUCGCCUACAAGCCGACCGGCUACUAGACGAUUCGGAUCCGGCUCUUCGGAUUUGCUUUCUUUGGUUCAGUGUUGGAUGUUUCCCCUUCUCUCGUUGUCUCCUCUACGCAACCGCCGACAGUGCAGCAGCGCACUGAGGCCGUCUAUGUUUUGUUUCCCCAAGAACGCGGAGCUUGUAUGUUAAGAAGUUUAUUAUGGACGUUCGCUUAUUUAUAAUAAAGGCUACCCAAUGUGUUUGAUUUUACCUGUAUCCGUCUGCUGUGGGUGGAAGAAUCCCGUACCGUAGUCGGCAGACGUGUGGUGUGGGGGUUGAAGCUUUGCUCUGGCCCAACCUAAUGUUAUCUGGGCUCUGUAUUGGGCCGAUCUCGGCCUACUUGGACGAUCAACCGCUGGGUCAACGGUCAAACACCGCGCGCAUGUCUUCUUCUUCUCCCUCCCCUACUAAUUUAAUGGAAAUAGAUAUAUGGACCCCCAAAAAAAAAAAAAAAAAAAUGUCAUCAUCUCGCAUCCGACGCACCAACAAACGCGCCGUGGCAAAAGCAGUACGAGAGGUUUCCUAUCGUCGUCGGUCGUGAAGAGUAGCAAAGUAGAUCGAGCCCAAGCGAGGAACGUCACGUGCGAGCAUAAUUCGUGUCGGCCCUUCGCUCGUGGUGGGGUACCGCCGCGGUGCCCGGUACCGUGUCGGAUGAUGUAUAUUAAUGAAGCCAACCGUGUGUGAUAUCUCAACUCAUGCUGUAAUCACCGUUUGAAUAGUUUGAUGAACGGUGUCCAUAUCCACAGCAUGCGUGACACAUUUGGUACCUACCCAUUAAAAUACAAUACCAUUCAGAGCACUCUCUCGAUUUAUUUUACUUUUUCUAUUAUUCUUCUUCUUCUUCUUCUUUUUUUCCUUUGGAUAAAUCCUCCUCCGACUCCCUUCUUCCCCAUUCCUAUCUCCUUCCCCUCUUCGGAUUCUCUCUCUCUCUCUCUCUCUCUCUCUCUAGUAGGGAGGCGGAUAAGGUACAUAAAAAUCCGGUCUUUGCCUCCUGCGCUUCUUUUUCUUCCCUUCUUCUUCGAUUCUGAGGGGUGAUCGGCUUCUUUUGUGGGAGAUCCCUCUCGUGGUGUCGCGCGCCGGUGGUUUUCCAAACAGAGUCGGGAUUUUUACUGGUUUUUGGAGUUUUCCUUCUUCUCGAAAUUUCGCACCCUCCUGCUUUUAUGGGAAACAGUGAAAUGUUCAAACUUGCCUGCAAAUACGUCCGAGUUUUCGUAGCUGCGGCGUUGUUUCUACCGGAUUCAAACGGAGAAAACCGCUUUUCUUGUUGGCUAAUUUAGUUGUCACGACAGGCGUUGCCAUCGUAAAGAUUGGGCGAACAUGAACCGCUGCGCGAUGCAACAGAACCCUUUCGCCGCCUACGAAGAGAUGAGGACCGCUUUCGCCGCCGCGGAAAGGAAGCCCCCUGUCUUCUGCCCGAAGCCCCGGCGGCUCAGCCCGCCCGCUGGCGUCGCCGAUCCGAUCUGGCCCCUCCGUUGGCACUCGAGGUUGACAUAUAUAACAACCCCUCCUCUGCUACGACACCGCAAAAGUUUCCCCUUUUCGUGUAUCUGAUUCCACCUCUCUCUGUCUCUCUCUUCUGCUCUUCUCAGUCGUCAAGCAGAUUUCUCCGAUUCGAACGCCGUGGCGGACCUUCUUGACAUCUUGCUCGCAAAGGUGAGAUUUUUUGUUGACGUUGUAAUAACAUGUGUAUUUGAUGUAGCUGAUACCGAAGAAAAUAGAUCUGGAAAACCUCUGUUAUUGACGUCUAUUAUCACGAUUUGUUCGCAGGAUGGUGAAGAACAGAACCGAGAGGCUUCUUCGCCGCCCUUCUUCUGCGGCUCGCCUCCAGACCGUGCGGCAAACCCGGUCGUCCAUGACGCCCGUUUCGGCGAGGACCGUCCGCCGCUGGCGCCGUUCGCCCCUGUGCAACCGACCCAGUCCGUCACGCCGAUGUCCCCCAAGCACGCCAAGUUCGGGCUCCUGCCGGCGGCCGUGCGGGUCGAGGGUUUUGAUUGCCUCGAUCGCGGCUGCAGCAGCAUCGCUGCUGUGGCCUGAACGCCCGCAUGCGCCUCCGAGCUUUCUUUUGGAGCGCGGUGAGAGGAAGAGUGAGAGGAAGGGAGAAUUGACAUCAACAAAUCAAAGAAACCAGCUGUAGGAGAAGAACAAGUUGGUAAUCUGGGAAUGCGUUUUGGCUCUCCAUGUAAACUGUACAUCUUACUAGUGGUGCACCAAUGUUGUGUACUAUUUGUGUGGGAGAAUUGUAUGUAGAUAUCAAAAUAAGGAAGAUAGAGAGUUAGGAGGAGGAGGAGAAGGAAAGCCAAGUUUUUUUGUGUUUUGUUUUGAUCCAUAUGGACGGUAAGAGGUUCUAUUUCAUCCUGUGCUGAAAUAUUCAUCAUCUUGUAUAGAACUCUUAGGAGGAAAUCCUCGAAUCAUGAAAUUGUGUAUCUAUUCAUCAUGUAUAAAAUUUUGUAUUCCUUUUCCUCUCUAUGUUUAUGGUGCCUCUUGGAGCUCUCGAGACGGUGGUGUUGCGAUUGAUGUGGCUGCCACCAGCGAAAAGAUGUUGCGCUUAGUGUUAAGAGCAUCGUUGGACGGAGAUGACUGGAGACGUGGCUUCGUGUUGGAAUAAUGUCAUCUUAUCAGAGCAGAUAUGGUCAAUAUCGUCGACUGAUACGAGAGGCGAUGGGUAAGGAGGAAGAGGUGGAGGAUAAGAAGGAAAUGGGGGCAGGAGGGCCCAGCAAAAGGGGUGUGAGGUCAUGUCUUCUCCACCGAGCUGUCUCUGUUCAAGUGGCGCUGUCGCGAAGAAAAAAAAUAACGAAGUCCAUGCCACCACCAUUCUUUGAAUUCUCCACAUGUGUUCGUCCGUGAUGACUGACUAAUUCAACAACGGAUGGAUCGACUCCGAGACGGACUAAAUGUUCUGUGCCUAACGAAGGAUGGACACAAGUGGAUAAUGCUUUGACAAAGGUGGCUAAUUGGCACGCGAUUUCCAGGGUCUUCUGUAUGCACAGAGUCAUGAGCUGUAAUAGGCCAAUGUCGUGAACUAUAUAAUAAAUACAUCGAUGGAAGUCAUGAGCAAGUGGGGAAAAGAAAAGCCUCGGCGAUUUCUUUCUACCCGUUGCCGUCCUGCUUUGCGUCCGACCGUCUCAUUCCAUCCCGCAUGAGAUACGGUGCUGUCGGAAGAGAUUCGGACUCGCAUUAGGUUCCGAUCUCUCCGAGCGUUCGUUCAGACACAUCGCCAGGGAAAAGAAAAAGAGUAGUAGAAUCCAUCCAACUUGUGCUUGCCAAAUAAGCAGAUAAGAGGAACGAAGGCUGGGUUCACAAGCAGUCAACGUGGCCACUUUCCACACCACGGCCUUCGUCCGCAGACCAUUCCUCAUCCCAUCCAAGUGAGUCCAAAAUCUCCACUGCUCACCUCAGGCGUGAAUGCAGAUAAAGAGGAAACAAAGCGGACGUGUCCUCUGCGGAACAUGUGGUCCGCCAUGCACGUAUCCCCUGUUACUCUUGGCCUCGGCGAGACGACGUGCCGAUCCAUGGGUGGAAGAGAGACGGAAGGAAUAGGAGAGAUCCCACGACGUGCAAUGUUUCAUCGCCCACCGUGCUGCACUCGCACAUGGUCUGCGGCUUCUCCCCGGCGCAUGGAAACCAAAUAUGGGAUCGGUGGGAGAAACAGGAUCGGAAACCUGUCUCCACGGUACCACUUUCCUUCCGGUACCCAACCGAUGAAGGGAUGCGUAGAGAUCGUAAUCGAAGCAUCUGACUGCAGGAACGCUUAGAGAAUUCACUCGUUGCAAGCACCAUAGCCUCGUCCUCGUACCAUGCCAUUCUCGAUGAAGGAAUCAGAAACUGGGCGAAGCGAAGGACAUGCCACGUAAAGCAGAAGAACAGGGCACAAAGAAAGGAUUCCGGUGGAGAAUAAAGAGGGAGGAGAGUCUGGUCCAUUGCUUUUGUCGACAGAUGGGUAUCGUUUGAGACCCACCUGGAUCGCUAUGGUGAUGAUAGAUAGAUAGAUAGAUUCUUGAUGUUUAUUCUCCCAUCAAAUCAGUAACAGGGAGGAGUGAAACGGAGCGAGAGAGAGGAGGGACAACACAUUUACGGAGAACCUACAUGUGUCGAGACAGGAAAACAAUGACAGGCUACAGGUGGGUUGCGUACACUCAAACCUUUGUCGCCGCAACUGGAUGCGAAUGGGAGCUGUCGGCGAAGCAAGCAAUCGGACCUGAGUUGGCUCACCGCAGAUGCCUAAUGAUUGACGCGGAAAAGGCCAAAUCGAAGAGAUUUGGUUUGCACGAUUGGGGUGUGCAGCCAACUCGGGUUGAGUCACCUGCUGCGGCGCCUUUGAUUAGCUCUUCCUCUGGUGGGGGUGGACGUGUCCACCUGUGGCCAUAAGACCCGCCGCGAGUGGUGGUCAAAACAAAGAAGGCCUUGGGAACGACGGAGGCCGACUUUAACGUGGCAAACGGCUGUGUGCCACCUUUACUGAUGUGCCCAAAUCUUUAACAAAAAUAAAUAUUCGUGGACCGCUGGGGUGCUGAGAGCAUCUGCUUUUUAUAAUACGAAAAGAAAAGCCUGUUCGUACGACAAUCUUACUCUGGCGGAGUGGCUGAAGGAACAUUCCUUUUUCUUCUUAUAUAUAUAAUUACUUUCUUCGUGUUCGUGAGCUCCAACUCAGAAACUUCCCUUCGUUCCUAUCUUUACACAUGUUUGCCUGAAUAGAUGCUUGGAGGUGCUGUCAACGUAAGAACGCUUGAAACUGAUAAAAGGAUGGGGCUCGAUGUCAAACAUCAUAAGAGAAAAACUAGGUCAUGUCGUCUAGGAUUAAUGUUCUUUACGAUUAAGCAUGCGAGUCCUUUCGAAAUCAUGAUCGAGAAAAGUCCAAAAGGAUAAGCUUAGCCAUCGUGUAUCAAUGAUUCUUUACGAUUAGGCAUGCGAGUCCUUUCGAAAUCAUGAUCGAGGAAAGUUCAAAAGGAUAAGCUUAGCCAUCGUGUAUCAAUGGUUGCUCUAAUUUAUGAUCACAUGAGGGGGGUUACCUUACAUGCGUGUCGACUCCAAGUGGUGGCUCACGAUUAGGGUGAGUCAUCGAUCUAAUGCUUGUGUCAUUGUUUUUCCUAUCAACACCUAUAGUUUUUUCUAAUAUCAUCAUAUUUUUAAUAUAUUUUAAAACACUAAUAUCUCCUGAUAAAAGUCUAAUAUACAAAAGAGUAAAAUUAUUUAUUUCAUUAAAUUUUCAUAAUAAAAUAGUAAAAAUGGAUGACAUCUUUGUUCAAAUUUUUAUCAUAAAAAAUUUUAGAUUCUGAUGCCACUUUUAUAUCCUACGAAGAGUUAGCAUUUUUUAUUUCUUCAUAAUAUUUUUAAUUUUUAUUAGACUGUGUUGAACAAGGAGGUGUUUCAUCCUCCUCUUCUAUUCAAUUAUUGAACACAACUAUUCUUUCCAUUAAAUUUUUAUAAUAAAAAUUAAAAUUUAAUCGAGCUAUUUUUUUAAAAAAAUAAAAAAAAAUAGAUGAGAAAAAGUAAUAGCGACCCCUCCAACCAACCCCUCAGCACACGACAACAUGAACAGACUAGUCUAAACGCAAAAGUAAUAUUGACCCGUUACACUAAUUUGCUUUUGGUGGGUUGUCCGUACGGACAUCGGUGGGUAUAAGGCACGCAGCCCAUGUGGGGGUCGACUGCAGAAAUAACUCCGUCCUCGGCGACGAAGCUGAAGCUGAAGCUGGCAAUUGUUUUCUCAGAAUCAGAAUAUUCAAUCGGCCACCAUAAAUCAAAUGAAUAGGAAGAACAAAAGAAGCACAGACCAGCGGUGGUGGGAAGGUGAAGGUCGUGAUCGUCGCCGUAAAUUUUAAUAGAAACGAGCGAAGAAAAGAAAAUAUUUCGAAAUUGGACAAACAAUGGCUCCUUAAUUUAUUAAGUAGCGACACGCCGGUGACUGUGCGGGAGCGGGAGGAGGAGGUGGAGGUGGAGCUCCGCACGACGGAUUCGCCUCCGACCGCCCCUCCCUCAUUAUUUCGUCUGUCGGUCACGCACGGCUGUGGUCCGCACCUCUCUCUCUCUCUCUCUCAGACACGUGACCCCCCGCUUAUCCGCUCCAAAGCCGCGACGCGAACCGGACGCGCUGCGUCUGCCACGUUGCUGCCGGCCCCUCGUAACGUAGCCACGUGUACUCUUUAGCCGGGUUCGACCCGGCUCGGGUAGCCAUGCCUUUCGAGCGACGACUCGGCCCGUCACGAGUCCUCACACCGCCCCACCCACGACGACGACGACGACAGAUAUAGAUACGUCGCCGAACCCAGUACGUUCCUGCCGUGUCGAAGACGUUUCGGUCCGUGACGCGCCCGUGGCGACCAACAUGCCUAGCGUUAAUAGCGACGGGUGUUACUCCUCUUUCGGCUUAAAAUCACCGGAGUAAACAGAUCCGGAUUCGACGCGUCGAGUUGAUGGCUGCGUGCAUUUAGGGGAAGGUCUGGUGCUCGCACCACGCCUCUUUGAUUCAUUCCAUGCAUGCUUUUGACGGACGCACGCGCCAAUGAACGUCGAGAUUCGCGACGGACAGAAUCGCUGAGUGGGUCCGCCGCGGGGCCUCCAUGUUUGGCCAUUAUUGAUUAUUAGAGGUGGGUAGGCGCGGGCAGCGAUUGGGUUUCCUCGUUUCCUUUUUUUUCUUAUUCCUUCCUUUCCGUGGGCGAUUUGGUUACCACCGCAUCACCCAUCGAGCUGACAAAGAAAGAUAUUGAUGCCCACCCUGAAUAGCCUUUUUCUUUUUUCUAAUCUUUCUUUGGCGCUGUUGAGGUCAAAUAAAAUUAUAUUAACAUCAUGAUCGUUCGUUUACCCGCGGAUGGUGGAUGAUGGCAUGGGAGUUAUCCUACCAAUAUGUUAGCGGCUACGAUUCCUAAUUUAAUCUUCCAAGUUAUCCUACCCCAACAGGAGGUCAAACUCGACAACGAGAGGGAGGAUAACGUCGAACGUUUCUCACCGUUCAAAUCCAGAGGAUAGAGAAGGGAGAAGAAUAAAAAAAACAAAAAAGGAAGAUGCGCCCAAAUCCAGCCGAGCCGAGAAGACCAAGCCAAACCACGUACCGCCUCAGCCACGCCGACGACGGGGUCACUGCCCCGGACGCCAGCUCCGGACUCCAAACCCGACCCAUACGUGUCCAAAUUACCUUUCCUUUUCCCUUCAUUAAAAUAAAAAAAAGCAAGACACACCCGUGAUGCGUGGGCCCCUCCCACCUUAUUUCCCCCCCACCCCGCCCCCCUUAUUAUUAUUAUUAUUAUUAUUAUUUUACUCGCUCUUCCAUCUGUUAUGGACUUUAUCACGCCACCCACCGUAUUUCUCGUGUCUCGCGAAACGUCCCCAGAAAAAGAAAAAAAGGAAAAUGAAUAGAAAUCCGCCCCUCCUCUUUCCCUCCCUAUAUAAACUCCCCCUCCACCGUGGACGAAACCAUUCACAUGCUUACUCACGCUUCCGUGCUCCUGUUUUGAGUUUUGACCUUCUUCCUACUCGGCCCCCUUAUCAUUUUCUUUCCCAGUUUGCCCAUCGACAACCUGAAAUGUCUUCUCCACCCCCAUACCUUCCUCCUGUAGAGGCCUCCGCCGAUCGGAAAAGACGCCGCGACGAGAUGGUGGAGAUAGAGGAGGAGGGGGAGUCGCCGGAGAUCUCCUCGCCCGAGGCCAAGCGCCUCCUCCUCGACAUCCUUGACGAUGACGCCGAUGCCGGAGACCAGGACCUCGCCUCCGUCAUGAAGAGCCUCGAGGAGGAGAUCGCCCUCCCCUCGCCGCCUCCGCAACCGCAGCUGCUCCCUCUGGCCGCGGUGGACCAGCCCGACCUAGGGUUCCUCUUCGAGGCCUCCGACGACGAGCUCGGCCUGCCGCCCCAGGCCGACGAGCGCUGCGAGGCACCCGAGCCGGAGGUCGCCGAGGAGAGCGCCGGGUUUGGCCAGAUCUGGGGGUUCGACGACGGCGACCUGUGCGGAUACGAAGGGUUCGAGUUCGGGAUCCGGCCGGAGGAGCGGGCGGAGGCGGACGACGGGGUGGUGUUCGACGGCGGGCUGUUUGAUUACGCCGACGUGGUGCCCUGCGGGCCGUCCGAUUUCGCGGAUCUAUCGUGGCGGCCGGAGACGCUCCCGGCCGUCUGAUGACAGUCCGGACGCUUUUGUUCUUCCUUCUUUAAACCCCCCCCCUUCUUCAACUUUUCUUUUGUUCUUUUCCUUCUCUUUUGAGGAGCGGUAGGCGGUCGUUGUAAAGCUUAGAAAAAAGAAGAUGAAGAAAGAAGACGCUUGUGAACGAGAAUCGAACGAACGGUUUCGCACGAUAUUUCGAAGAAGGAAAUCAAUCUUUCGUUUUCUAUUUCGACAGCGUCAUUUUAUCAUCCACCUUAUUCGACCUUUGGAUGGACAUCCGACGGUGCAGAAAUGGGGAUCCCAAUAAUCUCCUUGGAUGCUCCGCUCGUCGCUUCUUGAUGACCAAAACAGAAAACCUAACAGCAGAAUAAAAAGUCGAUUCAACCCAUGAAGCACCAGUCUUAUUCGUUCAUUAAAUAUUUCUAACAUUCCGUUGCGUAGUAACGAGUUAUGCCAUUAUUCAUAUCCCGUAUUAGCUAAGAAUUAUGCUCAAUAAAUUAUAUUAUAAAUUGAUUACGAAUGGUGUAUGACUUGGUUGUGUGUGGGACCUGAGUUUGGUGGCAAGCAGUUUCGGAAACGUGUCGGGCUCUGUACGAGGCCGGCGCAGCGAGUUCUGUGAUGGGCCUUCUUCGUCUGUCUUUGCAUCUUCGCAAAGAAUGUCUGUUUCCCUUCCUUGCACUUGCGUUCCUUGGGUUGAUUCCGGCCUCGACCUAGUUGCAUGGCGUGAUUGGCAGUGGAGGACAUUAGAAUUCCAUCCUACGAGGUCUGCUCUCUUUCCUUUGUUGCUUACAAUCGAUGAAGAAUGGAUCUUUACAUGCCGCGAUCAAGGCCGCCUGUUUUUAGAGCCUCUUUUGGUAGGUCGAAACCUAAUUUUUUUUGCAUCACCUAAAUUUAUGGCAUCACCUUAGUAUGACGACGUUGUGUUCGACGAUAUGCCUCUUUUGUUUUCAUUCAUAAUCUUAUGUUUUCAUUAAUCAAGUCUAGUUCUCAUUGGAUUUCCGGUGCGGUGCCACGCCCCUUUUUGCUGGUGAGUAAACACAACACAUUAUAAUUUUUCCGGUGGUAGGAGGUCUGCGGGUGAAGAAUUCAGAAAAACUGGGACAAAGGAGAUGGAUGAAGAGUCUACUUUGUGGAGUGGGAGCGAGGACCAUUAAUGCUACCUGAAUGAUCAUGGUGAUCCGUAUAUAAUAAACAUACAGUUUGAGCUUGAGGAGACAUCCAAAUAUCGACUGUUGAAGGCAGAAAAGUAGCACCAGGAGGUCUCUCAGGGAAGGCAAGCUACAAAGCUUGCUGCAGAAAAUGCACUGAAAAAUAUUUAAGAAAGUGUCGGACAGGAAUGUAUGGGAGGCGGCAAGUGAUCUAGAUAUCCGGAUUGGAGUUUUCGAAAACAUUGUUCCAGGACCAGGCUAUGCACAGCUUCGAGAGGAGGGUGGUCCUAAGAAGGGUAGACAUCCGAUUCUUCAAGGAUAGCACAGGCACAUAGAAGAGAAUCAGGAUUCGGAUUUUUCGGUUUGACAGAAAAUUUCAUUAGAUCGUGAAAGACCAUUUGUCUAUGAUUUAAUAUGCCAAGUUAGAGUCCUCUGAUGAAGUAGAUCAAUAUGAUGGUUGCUUGCAUCAUCCCAAGGAAAGAAAUUCUCUGGUCUAACCUGACCAAUUUAUCAUCCACCUGUUUCUCCUGCUACAUAUAUUCGAGCCCGUCGUCGAUGGAAAAGUGAAGAAUGAGUAUUUCUUGUUUGUGUCUGUUGUUUCUUCGAUCCAUCUAUCUCUCUCAUGUCUUUGUUACCACAUGCAUGCAAUCGAAUUAAGUUCACUGAGGAUUUAUAUUUUGAUUCCAGAGAAACUGUGUUCUCAUUUACGCUUCGUGCGUUCUUCCCAUCUUUGUUAUGUCUUUUGUCCCAUUAGUUAACACUCGUAACAUGUUGAUGUUCACCGGAAAACUCGUACAGGCGAGGGAUGGACCAUGGUACGUUGUCCUUUCUAGCUACUGCAAGUGGAUCAAGUGGUAAACUUGCAGCAAAUUUGAUCUGCAACUCGAGUUAUAAGGCCAAGGACUAUUGUAUGUUUGUUUUGAAUAGGUAUGUGUAUAAUAUUUCUGCCAUUGGACUUAGGAAGGAAGUUUCUUGCGAAAUGAUGCACCGACCUGCUCCCAUUUCUAAAAUAUGCCCCAUCUGCUUAGGCUUAGCGAGUUGCAACAUAAACAGUUUGGGUUGGGAAGGAGCUUUUCAUUGCAGUGUGUGGUAUGGAAUGUAUCUUGUUUCUUGUCUGCACCGAUCCAAGGAUGGAUCAUUCUGGCACGGUCAUCCUCUCAUAAUGGUUAGUUUCUUGAUCCUUGAUCAAGAAGAAAAAAACGAAAGCCAUGCUCCUUGAUCCCCCGGCCAAUCCCUGUUUCUCGAGGCUUUUGUUUUGUGAAUCCUCUCGCCCUUUCUCUCAUCAUAUCCCCCUCCUGUACGAAAAGCAAGUGACAAAUCUCCUUGUGCCACUAAAGCUGACUCCCAUUGUCUAAAGACUUGUUGCGGGGACAGUGUUUUCGCCGCACAGUGUCUCGUACGGUUCCAGCUUUUGUCCAUCGUUCCUCUGUCUUUUGGUCUCCCAUGCCGACAUUGGAGCACUGUUCCGUGAGCCUCACAUGGGUGUUGGUGCCGCACAGUGAAAGGCUGCUGACCUCCUCUGUCUGUGAGACUUAAGUUUGACCGUCGGAGAAAGGAAGACUCGACCAUCAACGGUGAUCAUUCUUUUGAGAUAUCUGUAUCUUGUCGUGCACUGCCAUUCUUUAUCCAUCUUUCGAGGACUCGGGCCCUGAACCCUGCAGCUGGUUGGUCAUCUUUAUAGAUACCACGGCAUCGGUGAUCUUAUUAUAUCUUAUGUUGCUGCCCCGGUGGUUAAUUGUCCAUAUAUUUGAACUCAUAAUUUCUUUAAUCUCUUCGUGAUGCAUUGCCCCCCUUGCACUCAUUUUAGAUUAUCUAUAACAGUGUGGCUCUCAGUUCUUACCUUGUGGAAUUGUACUUGUAUUGAUUGGGUAACGCAUAUUUGCCUAAAGGUUACAAGUAAAUUAUAUGAAUAAUUUAAUUGUGGACCAAAAUGAGGAUGGUAAUCAGUAGCAUCGAGGACGGUGGGAAGCACAAGAACAAGGGGACGAGAAGAUGCUCGACAACAGCUUGAGCUAACAUCAAGAAUGCUACCAGUUCGAAGCACCACCGACUAUAGGAAACCAUAGCAGCUACGAGGAAGGAAGAAGGGAAAGAGAGAGAGAGAGAGUCAACCCCCCCCCCCCCUUGUCUCCUGAAAACCUACCAUCUACAUGAUAAUACAAGCAUUAGCGUUCUCAUCACUGAAAAGAUGAGUGGCACAGAAGCCGUUGUCUACUUGGCUGCUGAGAUAGCGAGGGCUCGGGCAGUAGUUGUAGUAGCCAGUGUAGGAGGCGAUCUGAGGGGACCUGAGGUGCAUCAUCUGAGGCUGCACGCAUCUGCCGUCGUGCAUCGCCAUGCUGUGCCCUCUCGAGUUGUUCGCCAUGGAUGGUGGAUGGUUCGGGUACCCCUGCUUGUUCACCAGCAAUGCCGACUGGUAUUGUGCCCCACCAGCAUUUCGUGGCAAGCCUCCAUUGCUCCCAACGAGACCCAUCAUCACAUUAUUCGCCUGCGUCAUCCUUUGUCCCUUCCCUGCCUCAGGAUUGCCACUCGCCACCUUCUUGUCGUUGGCUGCAGCAUUGACGCCUUUUGGCUGUGACCCACUUGAGCUUUUCACGGUGUGCUCUGCCUCUCUGCUCUUCCAUCCGCUGCUGCCAUUUGUUGGCCUCGCGCUGGCUGGUGCAUUGUUUGCCUGCCUCGUUAAACUGAUUUGCAUCAUCUUAUGGUCGAGGAUUUGCAGAUCAUCGUCGUCUUCAUCUUCGUCGUCAUCAAUAUCAUCAUCAUCAUCAUCAUCAUAGUCUUCCUCGUCGGAGCUGGACGAGGGAAGCUUGUUGUGCUGGUGUUUGAAGGCUUUGAGGCCUCGCAGGAGGCCUUGUUUGCCUCGCCCUUCGAUCUUCGUGUUGGCUUCCUUCAUGGGAUUGGCAACUUGCUUCGGUGGUGGUGGUGGUGGUUUUUUUUGAUGGAUGGACUUCUGAAUCGGGGUAAGCUUUUGAGACCAAAGCUCCGCACGCUUACCUGCUCUGACCAGCUUCCUGAUGAGGGUUUCAGAGUCCACAUUCCCAGAAACUGUGACCUUCUGUUCUUCUAUAUCUAUGCUGACUGAGAAGACUCCUGAGUGAGAUGCACAGAACAAGAGGUGCAUGAUGAACAUCAAGUUUCUAGUCAAAUCAGGAGUUGUAUCUGCUGUCCAUGGAGGAUAUAACGAACGUUAGAUCAGGUACCUUCAAUUCUAUGGAGGAGCUUCGUAACUUUGUGCUUACAUCCAUCACAAUGUAUGUUCACCUUCAGGACGUGGGUCUGCAAGAACCAACCAAACAGUUUCGCUUCACUAACUCCUCUUCUCGCAAGAUACAAACGAAACAGAGAGGAGGAGAGGUACCUGGAUCUUGAGGAGCUUGAAGUCUUCGCCCUUGACCAUUUCAGCCGCAAUUCCUUCCUGCUGUCUGGGAGAUCACAAAGGAACAGGACGCAGUUCCUUGUCUGCAGGGAGAGAAGCUAAGCCUCGGCAUGCAAGACUCGUCUCCUCCACCAUCCCCUGCACUUCCCUCUAUAUACCUCGGGGCACCCAACAGGACACCACUUCUUUUGUCCACUGCUCGCACUAUGAUUGAUACAAACACGCACUCUCCCUUUUCUUUUCCUUUUUUUUUUUUUCUCUCUUUUUCUUUUUCUUUUUUUUGCUUUGAUAGAAGAGAGUAUGUAUGAUUAGGUCUGUCUGAGAACAUCGUCCAAUGUUCUGUGUGCGUUGGGAUCCUCCCCGCGCGUAGAUUUGGCGUCUGGAGAGCCAUCCAAUGGCUGAGACAAAGCAGCUAAGCGCUGAGGGGAGGAAACGAAGAAAGGAGAUCGAGGAGAGAAGCCAUGCAGCAGCGACCUGACCUGACCUGACAUCUGCAUUGCUUCCUGCAUGCAUAGCCCUGCACAGGCUCGUCUCUUUGCAUCUGGUGCCCAUUUUUAUCGUCUCCAUCUUCUUCUUUUCUUCUCCUCUCUACUCUCUCUUUCGCCUGUUCUGCUCCUGUGCCCGCCAUAAACCCAGAAACACAGCUUAACGUUUGACGAAACACCUCCAAAUCAAUCACGUAGGCUCCUGUCCGCUAAAAGCAUUCUCUUGGACGUUGUUAAGAACCAGCGUGGUUGUCCACCGCUGAAAGAAUGCGUAGGUUGUGGUAACAAGAACGAUGGGCCUCGGGCCAUCAUGCUCCGCUCACCUGUAACCAUAGGUUUGGUAUCAGUCCACGAGCUUUGAUGCAUUCUCUUAAAGUUAGGAGGCGGCAACGAGUUCAGCUGUUUGUGCUGUAGAAAGUAAUCUUAAUUUAGGGUGAAUUCAGAAGCAGAGUGGCCCGAAGACGACGACGACGACUCAUUACUUUGGAAGCUGAGUUAGAGCUCCAUGUCGGUAGGGGACACUUUGGACGUCAAAGUUGGGUCGCGUAUGGAUCCAAAUCCUUGACUUCUUCCUUCUUCCACCGGUACGCAUGCACUUGGAGGAAAAGCUGAUCACAUGGUCUGUGGCAGACAAACAAUUAGGUGAUCUACAAGUAAUCUUGGUAAUGACAGGAGAUUAGAUGCAGAGAUACAAAUGGUUGUCCACCUCAACCUCAUUGGAUAUUGCAUUUAUUAAGAGUCAAAUCUCACGAGACUCCAAAAGUUAGAGAAAAGAAGAAAUCAACAUCCGAGUUCAUCAUUAAUCACACACACACACACACACACACCAUCACAACAUGGUCAAAAGUUGUGACAAUUUGGUCAUCAUUCCUGGGCAACUCACUGACUUGUAUCUAUUAAUCUGACAAAGCUGGGAAAUUAGCUGGAACCAAUACGAAAUCUAGCCAUCUGUCUAAACCCACCACCGAGCGUGAUCCUCCGUGAUGACAACACAAAGCCGAAUGAAAUAGGGCGUGUUUGAGAUGAAAUGGCCGAAGCCAGUGGUGGCAAUCAUUAAAAAGCAACACGUUAAACGGAGAUCGUGGGUUUCAACGGCGGGCGGCAAUGGCGGUGGUGGGAACAUGAUGCCCGACGUGCCUUGCCAUCAUUUCCCUUUCUCACAAAGUAGUCGUGAAAUUUGCUUGAUAUAUUGGCCACAAAGAUCGACGAAGACAAAUUUGUCGAUAGGAUGAAACAACGGUGGUAGAGGAGGGAUACGGGUGGCCAAAAGAAAAGAAACAUGAGGGAGGGCCAGAACGGGAAAUAAACGCCCGAGUACUUCUGAUUCUCCUCCUCCUCCCUUCCUUCACUCCAACAGAUCCAAUCGCUCCCUUGUAAGCCUCCUCCUCCUUUCCUUCCACUGAUUGUUUUUCUUGUCGCCGUGCCUUUUUGGUUUACUUUGGUUCUACUUGGUCUGUUAAGGCAGGGAUAGGAGAGAGAGAGAGAGAGAGAGAGAGAGUAGGGGUUUCAGGGUCCAUAAGAAAGCUGCCACCUUUUUCUUCUCGGUGUAUUGAUUCCUCUGUUUCUGGUGGGUUUGUGAUUCCGUUCUUGGUUUUCUUUUAGCCUCAUUCAUCUCUCCUCCUCUCUACCCUUCUCUGAAUUAUGGAUUUGUUUGCUCUCUUUCAUCUUCGUUUUCUCUUUGUCGUUUCGGAUCCAUGAAAGAUCGCUCCUUUUUCAGUGUUUCGUUUGGAAUUUCCAAUAAUACUUUGGUUCUCGUGUUUUGGUUGCUGUUCUUCUUGUGACCGAUUGAAUUUUGAUGAAUCUUUCCCGUCUCAGUUUUCUCUGUUCGUGGGAUUUCGAAUACCUUGUAGUUUGAGGAAACCGACAUCUUUCUUGUGCUUCUCUGCUGCAACCCUGUUGGUCUUGGUCUCUACACGAUGAUGUUAUUCUUACACUUACUUUUUACUGUCCUGAUAGAUUGUUGGAUUACUAUCCUCCGUUUUUGGUUCUGCGUCUCAGUGUCCUGCUCUACGUUGCAAAGAUAACUUCUUCCGUCAUGUGGGGAUUGUUCAUGAUUUUAUUAACAUCUUUCCUUUGACUCUGACGUAUGGUUACAUUGGCUUCUUUGUUACAUUGUUCUCCUCUUUUCGUUCAAAGUUCCAGAAGAAUGGGAGACCAUCUUGCUUUGUUAGUGGACCACCUGCUCACCGAGUCAACGCUUGAAGCGGCUAUUGGUAGUCGGAAGCAUGGCCAGAUUGUCGCCAAUUCGGCAUCUUUGGAGGACCCGGCCAAAGAAUUCACUCGGAAGAGUCACGUCAGAGGAAGGACAUCCGUGGGAAAGUUGGUCGAGUGCCGAAUUUGUCAAGAAGAAGAUGAAGACUGCAACAUGGAGAUCCCUUGUUCAUGUUGUGGCAGCUUGAAGGUAAAUCAAGCUUCUAUGUAACAUAUGUAACUUGCCUUUGUAUUGCCUAUUACUGUAAGGUCAAUUUUUUGUUGCAGAAUAUGGCUUGUUCUUGAAGAUUUCAUUUUUGUGAUAACACGUAUUACUAUAAGUUCAAAUUUUGUUGCAGAAUAUGGCUCGUUCUUGAAGAUUUCAUUUUUGUGAUAACAUGGAAAUCAUGCAUACAUCUGCUUCGGUCAUGCAGUUAUUUUGUAUUCUGAUUUGUAGCAAAAAGGUUCAUCAGUUCUAGCCUGCAAACUGAAUUUCCUGUAUGAUAGUGUGUAUGUUUGAGCUACAAUUUGUUAUUUUCUAUUAAUGUAUGAAAUAGUUUGGUUAUUUUCCUGUAUGAUAGUGUGUAUGUUUGAACUACCGAGUGGUAAUCUAGAAGUUAAAAAUUGCAAUUUAAUUAAGGAUUCAAACAGUGAUCAAUGUUCAUUUGUAAUUCAUUUGCAACACAUUACUUUUGCUCAGUAUCUGUUUGGCAGAAGUCUGCCCGAGAUAUGUUCCUCUUGUGUUUUAGAAUUACCUUUAAUCCAGUGAAGCUUCAGUCUGUGAGAUUUAUAUCAUUUGAAAGUCAAAGUAAGUCCGGUUAUUUAUUGACCCGGUGACAGGAAUAUAUCAUACAAAAGAAGGAACUGGUCUCUCUCAUCUCAUUUGUACGUCUGUCACCUUUGUUCAACGUUACUAGUAAAUUGUCAUCCAACAAGUUCAUUGAUCUUUGUGUUCUAGAAGUAUACAGUUAAUGCGUUCACAUAUUUCUUGUUAUGUGUUUUCUUUCGUAGUCUAGUUUACAUCCCAGGAAAAUAAGAAAAAUUCACCUUAGCUCUUUCUUCUUGCAGUAUGCUCAUCGUAAGUGUGUUCAAAGAUGGUGUAACGAGAAGGGCGACACAGUGUGUGAGAUUUGCCUGCAGGUGAUGUUUUUUUUUUCUGGCCUCGUAGUUUUCUUGAUCUCAACAUUCUGUAGUCACCAUGGUGAAAGCUUGAGCAACACGUACUGAUAUUGAAAGUGUCAAUUGAGGCUUUCUCAUCAAGCAAUUAUCUCUUUCAGAUUACAUGCUGGUCAUUUCAUCUGCACAUUUACUUUGAUGUAGCAUUUGGAUCACGAUAGUUUAUUUCUUGUGAUAUUGCUGCUAUAGCUCCUAAUUCUUGUCACUCAUUCAGCAAUUUAAGCCAGGUUAUACUGCCCCUCCAAAGUUGUUUCAGUAUGGGAGUAUUCCUAUGAACUUCAGGUAUCCUUUAUUCGUCUCGUUACGUUUUUAGGCAUCUGUGGCAAUUCAGAGUUGCAUCAUUUACACAAGGAAUCACUGAUUGUGUCAUAAUAUUUCUCAGAGGCAAUUGGGAGAUUACCAGACAGGAUCAGCAUGAUUCUCAGAUCAUAGCACUGGUUCCAUCUGAACAUGAUAUCGUGCACCCUGAUGACGAUGAUUAUUCAGCUUUAGGCAUGAGAAACACAGUUUGUCGUCAGUCAAUUGUGAUAAUAGUGAGUUUAUUUUGAUUCGAUAAGCACGAUAGUGGAGUGACUUGUGAGUCGCAUUUUGCCUUAUUAUGCUUUGUGUUUUGACGUAAGUGAUUCGCUUUUGUUUUUUCCAGUUCACGGUUCUUUUGGUUCUUCCCCACACUCUUCCUCUUAUGAUCGGUGUAGCUGAGCAGUAUUCAUUCACUCUGUUCUCAGUAAAAAUCUAAUCCUAAGAAAUUAAUAAUUUUCUUUCGACAUACUAUUAUUCGCUUCUGAAGUUCCGUAUGAUGUAGCCCAUUUUUAUUUGUACGUUUCUGUAUAAAAGCUACUGGUGUUGCGGACUGCUGGAAUACUUUUGCCGAUCUUUGUAAUGGUCAGAACAAUAAGGACAUUUCACCAGUUCCGCUGCCGACGGGUAAUUUUCUUUUUUCUUCUUCCCAUAGCGGCUGUAGAAACUCAAAUCUUUUUUCCAUGGUUUCUUAAGAAAAAGAAUCUUGAAACGUUUUGGAACAUGUUGCAGGUAACUCGUGAAAUAUCUGAUCCAGCUGAAGGAGAGAACAUGAUCGAACCUUGGCGGCUGGUGCGGUCUCAACCACAUCACAUUCAGAUGCACUGACUGAUACAAAGGAGCGAUGAUUAGCAGCGCGAGUGACUAAUCCCACUGUUUCUUGGUGAUGCAAGAUCAGGUCAAACAAUGGAAGAUGAGAAGAGGAAAAAUGACUGGGAACAUGGCAUGGUUAUGCAGUCUGCUGCUCUGUACAUAACAUGGUAGUGAUAGGUUUCCCUUCGGAAUGCUUGAAAACGGUAGCCAUAGUUGGAUCCCUCUAUAGAAAGCCACUCGCUUCAGAAAGCUUGAAGAUGAAGUGGCUGAAUUGAGAGUAGUGAUAUGGAUGGCAUGGUGUAAAGUCGAACUCAUUUGGCAGUCAAAAGAAGAUUCAAGUUUGACUUUAAAUGCCAAUGUUAGAACAGCUUGGAUUUUCUUUUUACUUUUAUUUAUUUAUUGGAUUUACUUGAAUAAGCAUAAUUAUGGGUCAAACCAUAUGUCCUCCCUUGUGGUUGAUUCAAAUAAGGUGAUGAAGAAGGAGUUACUACAUUCACGUCGUCCUUGAAUUGCAUAAGAACAUUUCUUGCACUGGUUGCUAGUGACGAAGUGCUCACCGUCAACAUCUUCAUAUUGAAUCUGAAGCCGACAGAAAUUAACAAUAGAUCAAGAAAUGUCACUAAAUCUGUGCAGGAAAAAAGACCUCCAUUGAGUUCUUCCUGAUGCCACCCACCCCUCGUCAGCCUCGUGGAACUUCUUUUAUGGUGUCCAAUGCCGGCGUCCACGACGACUGCCUCGGCCUCUCCUCUUGAUGCACCGGGUGGCUUCAUUCGCUUUCUUGGCCUGUGCGGGGAGCAAGCAGAGGUCACCGCGGACGGGAAGAAUCCUGUUGGAGAAUCUUGCCUUAGAGGCCCUGCACGAAAGAGCUGCCAUCUCCUCCUCGGUAAGCACCGAGAAGAGCAUGUCCAUCGGCAGCAGGAAGUAGAGCCGGCGUCGCUCGAGUUCCUCGUCCGCCGCCAAACCUGGAAUCCGACACCCCACGUCGAGAUGGUCAGAGUCGCACACGAACUACCCAGGGUUGUCAACCAUCAACUCCGCCGCUCUCACAGAACGCACGUACUCUACGACGCCAUUGACGACCCUUAUGGAUCCACCCGAGGCAGCGUAAGGUGUGCAUGCAGUGUUUCCCAUGAAAUCACACUCCAAUCUCCCAGCAACUAGAACAUCACAAGGGACACAAACAGAGAACGAGAGAGAGAGAGAGGAAGAGAAGGAAUGGCAAUGUGUGGAAUGUGCGUUGGGCAUUGGGGGUAUCAAGGGAAGCACAUGGGCCAGAAGAUACAGCAUCAGAUCAUGCAUGGAACCUGACAAAUCAAUGGAGGAAGCACAGAGAUGCAGAGAAGCAGAAUCAAGUGGAUGCCAAAAUGUUCAGUAUGCUUGUCCGACACCUCACACCUUACACCGCUAAAAGUUGGCAUAACAAAUCAUUGGAGAACAUGACAUGAAAACUAGACUGCUUAGAACACCUUUAACCAGACAGAGAUGGCAACAAAAGCCAAACAAUUAUAAUCAAAUUGUUGUUGAUAUGCAUAAUCUCAUCAGAGGCCAAGCUGUCUGAAGACUUAAAUCAUGGAGACCCAGCUAUCAUCUUUAUGGAAUCCUUACCUAAUUGGUGGACCAGUGUUUCACCAAAGUAGCCAACAAAACGCUAUUGCUUGAUCCAUUCUCACUUCAUCUUGAAGAGGUUUUGGGGCGCUUCAAAUGUAUCCUGUUGCUUCACAAACCUGAUCAUAUAGGCACAUCAUCGACAAAAGGCAGUGGUUAAUCUUGUUUUCUAAGCUUAGAUUCACAUUAUUUCCAUCAGUUUGUUGUUAUGCUAAUCGAAUAAAGAACCAAGCAAUAGUGUGGGAAUAAUUUACUGGACAAGUUAAUCGAAAGAAAAAUAGUGGAAGUUAAAAGCUUAGAAACUGCAUUGUCUCUUCAAAUAAACAAUUUACUGCAUUCCUUUAAUUGAAUACUGAGAGAGUAUACAUCAGUGCUCCUUGUUUUUUUAGUACAGGCAACUUAUAUGAACUUCCAAAAGUAUACAAGACUGAUGACCUGUUGUACUGGCCAUCAGAGUGUGAUUUAAUAAUGUAAUAAUAAGGUUGUCAAAAUUUGGUAAAUUAUUCACCAUUAUUCUGCUCCAAGCUCAAUCAGAUGAUCACACAGCAUCUGAGAACAAAAGAAUCGUAUUGGUGUUUCGCUAAUACUAAUAGAAGAGCAUUGUGAGCCUUCCCCUCCUCCAUGGUUAGAAAUUCGUCAAGAUUUUGUCUUUUGACACACCUUCAGCCACAAGCUUAGCUGUAAUGACCUGCCACAUAAAACCUAGUGUCAGUUAACUAGCAUUCUGGAGCCAUAAAUUUGUGAUCCUCAUGUAGAUUCAAAAAGUAUAAUCAACAUUAAUAGUAAUAAUCUUGUUGAAACAUGAAAACCUCUUCUCCCUGGGAAAAAAUCACAGUAGUUGCAACAUUCAUCCUAAGUGAUAUUCAAUUCAUAACUGAUAAUAAGAUUCAUCUACAACACCAGUGACAUAUUAUCCAGACAUGCAAAGUCACCCAUAAAUAAGUUGAUGAUAAUAAGAUGAUAAAUCCUUUCUCUUUCAGAAGAAAUAAGCUGAUAUAACUUAAGAUGAUUAAAUAAGUACAUAUUUUUUCAUCAGAUAAAGUGAUCUUUCCAUUAGUCUCGUGUUCUCAAUAGAAGGCCAUCUUGAAAUAACAUCAGAUAUUGAUUGGUGGGGAAUUCAAGCCAAGUUAUUAAGUCACACUUCCAGCACUAACUUAAUCGUGCUAUGACUUCUACAAGCUUCCAAAAAUCAAUAAAAGAGAGGCUCAGUGAAUCAAUAUGGGUUUCGGAGAGUCCAUGUACACCCAUCCAAACAGAGUGAUUGCAUUGCAGCUACUCAGACUAUUUAUCAAUGACUAUUAAGAUUUCAGAAAACUGUACCUCAGUCAUCUGUUUGUGCCCACAAAGCACCGCACCAGUUGUUGAAGGAUUUAGAAUAUGUCUGGCUCUUAAAAAAGCUGUCUGCAAAAUGUCAGAGAAUAAAUUUGAUUAUUUACAGGAAGUUCAACAACAUAAAGUUGGUUGUUUAUAGAUUCAAUGAGCUACCUGUACAUAUCCUCUUUCGCCACUCCAUCUUUCAUCAGGUUGUGACAAGACAGGUAUGACAUUUACUCCAGCAUACUCCCAAUCCUUGAACCUUUCCUAUAAACAAGCAACAAAAGGUUUUGUAUUUGAUUUCUUGAUUCAGAUGAACACACAUCUUGCUUGUUAGAUGCUAGCUAUAUGUUUAAUAGUGUAUAUAAUCUUAGACCUGAUAUGCCAUUUUCUGAAGAUUUCUAGCUCCAUAAUAAAGUCUCACAUCUGAUCUUUCAUUUGCACGGACACCUAAUUCAAUAAGUGACCGAAUGGGACUGCCAGAAAGAGUUCAUAGAGCAAAGUAUUAACAAUGGAAAAAAGCUAGUUAACUAGUGACAAAAUUGUUGCAUACAAUUGUAAAAAUCUACAAAAAUAUUUACUACAAAUUGGAAGACAAAAGACACGUAUCAAUAAUUUUUUAAUGCAAUCAAAACAUUCUAUCACACUCAUCUGCAAGUUAAGCAAGUUAACACUAAAUUAGUAUUUGAAAACAUAACAUCAACUUAUUUAGAAGAACAAUGUAUCAGUACCGUUAAGAAAGUAUGAUAGGAAGAACUUGAAGAUGCAUUCCAAAGAUAGAAUUGUCAUUGGCAAACAAAUCUCAGUUUUGGGGGACCGAUAGAAUGAUGCGUACAAAAGAUAGGAUGGUCAGUAUCAAGCAAAGACCAGUUUUAGGAACUAUCUGAAUAUGCAGUAGUAGCCUAUUUUCCCAAUUAUUAUGCUACAACCAGUAACCUACCAUCCAGCUUUUCCUAAAAAGUUUGGUUCUAUUACAGGUUUCUACAUUAUCAGAAAAAUGUUAAACAAAUCCUCUCAAUUAAUAUACUAACUGAAAGAAGUAUGUUAUACUCUACUUCUCUGAAUUAUUCUUCCUAUAAUCUCAAAAGAAGUAUAUGUGCCUUUGCUCCAAAGGUGUACAGGCCUUAUGGAAGCUAAACAAUACUAUCAAAGGAACAAACAAAAACCAGAUUGAAAUAAGAGACUUCAUAUUGAUAUCAUCCAUCACACGUAGAAGUAAAUGAUCAACCACUCCAUUAUCAAGUCCAUGAACGGAUCUCGGAUGCCCAAAUUUCCAACCCAAUCGCAAAUAAAUAUGAAAUGAAGGAAACAAACAGAUAGGAAGUAAGAAGAUAAACGGAGAACAAUGUGAAGUUACAAGAAUCUUUUUCUCUCUGCAAAUAAUUCUGAAGAGAAAGAAUAAUAUCUUUAAAAAUCACAGUACAAAUAUGAGAGUAGUCACUCAUGCGACCCCUCCAACCUCUCUCCGCUUGCCAGUCUUUAAGGAAACAAGUCAAAUCAAUUUGGGCACAGAGGUGACUAACAAAGACCAAAUUAGAGCUGAAUUUAAUAUAUUCUUUUAAAUUAUCAAAUGACAAAAAUUAUAACAUUCCCCACUACUUUUCAAAUUUUCACAACAACUAAGGAAAUUUUGAUUUUGAUGGGUGCCUUUUGGGUUUGGUCCACACUCAGUAGUGAUUUUACUGGACUGAGGAUCCAUUAUGGAAUAGGUUCUGAACCACGUCCUUUACCAAUCAUCUAAAACCAUACAUAUACAGCGAGUAAAAUUGAUGGAGCAUAUUACCACCUCUUUGGAUUUCCACUUAGCUUGAUUCUUAUAGGAGCUUCAACCUCAUAAUCAUAAUCCCAUAACUAUCCUCAUUUAGGUGAAUCCUCAAGAAGUAUACUUGACCGAGAUACACUUCUUAGUCCACAUGUCCUCAAAUCUCUCACCACUUGCUAAUUUAUAGGAAACCAAUCGAAGAAACUUGGGUCCACACUUGACUAGAAAAUACCAAUACAAAGCUAAAUUAAAUAGUUUUCCAAGUUAAGUAAGAACUUCAAAGUAACAAAAAUAUUAACAAAAUCAACAUCAAUAAUGAUGUAAAAAUGCUUAAAAUAAUUGGUUAGUAGAAAAUCCCGGAAGCAUGACAUCUAAUAUAUAUAUCUUGAUUGGCGUAAGCCUUGUGCACUGGGCUGCCCCUUUUUAUACCAUCUAAGAUAUAAAGAGCAAAUUUUGGACCAUCAUAAGUCUUCUAUCCUACUUUGAUUGUCUCCGCUUAUAGUUGUAGGGGUAAGAACACCUUGCAUAGGAAGUGCCUCAUGCAUUAGGCUAUCUUCUUACUUGUUCCAUCUAAAAUAUAGUUAAGAGGGUAAAUUAUAUCCCAUCUAUAAAGUCUUUAAACUAGUCAUCCAUCACAACUCAGUUGGAACUAGUUCGAUCACCCAAAUUAACAUAAUGAUUUACAAUUAAUCUUUUCUUUGUUCUCAUGGAUAUUUAUGCUAUCAAUUUCGUGAUACAAUAACCUCCAACAGGUACUCAAGAAUCAUUGUCUACAAUAUAAAAAGAUAUUGUACCUUAUGCACGAGGCUCUCAUUAAUGUGGUAUCUAGGGAGGGUCAAUGUACAUUCAAAUAUUUAAAGAGAUUAUUUUCGUGACUCGAAUCUUGGUCUCCCAGAGAACCUUACCAUUGUACCGAGGCCCGCCCUCGACCUCAAUCGUUGUCUAUGAUCUCAAAUCACCAAAUCUAUUGACCAUCAUUGAUCUCAGAAUGAUGACCACUAACAUAAUAAUAGAGUUUCAAAUAUUUGAGGUUUCAUGGUUUUGAAGAUAUAUUAACAAUGAAGCUCUAGUGGGCAAGUGUUUUCCCCUUUUAAGAGAUGUCUCUAAAAGCAACUAAAGUUCACCACAAAAUAAAUAAGAAAAACAUACGGAACAAAAUAAUCUGCAAUAUAAUGGAUGGAACUAAACACGAUUAUUAAGCUCAGAUCAUGUUUGAUUGAGCACACAAUUGACAGUUUUCAUCCUAUUCAAUGAACAACGGUCAGUUUGAACGCCACAAAUUGAGACACGAAAACGUACAUAGGCUUCAGUAAGAAAGAUUAAUGAAUGUUCAUCCUCAACGAACUGGAAAAAAAAUUCACUGAGAAGCGUAUGCAAUGAAUUUUAAUCCACAAAAUUCAUAUUUUUUCGCUUAACAAGACUGCAAAAUUGCAUAAAACAAGAAGAAUUCAGAAAUAUUAGAAAUUGGAAUUACCAAAGGGAACAGAGUCCCACCUGAUACCAGAUCCCGUUGCAAAGAUAAAGACGGAGGGGAAGGCAUCGGGAGGAGAGAUCUCCUCCACCCGGAAUCCCCUCCCCAUAAUGCCACUCAGCUCGACGAUAUCCCCGCGUCUGAGCCCACAGAGAAGAUCGACAGUGGAGCCAGGGACCCUCUUGACGAGGAAUUGGAAUUCGCAACGGGAGGCGGCGAAGGAGGGGGGGGAGGCGAUGGCGAGGAAGGCGGGCUUGUCGGCACCCGGUACCCGGAGCUGGAGGUACUGACCCGGGGCGGUGUAGGAUACGGCGAGAUCGGGGGCGUAGGAGACGUCGACGGCGACGUGAAAGAGGGAGGCGUCGGCGGAUGCGGGGGCGACGAGGGAGAGGGGCGCCUGGGACCACGUGUCCGUGUCCUGCUGAACGGCGGCUGCGAGGGCGGUGAGAGCGCGGCGGCGGAGGGGGGCGGGGAGGCGGAGGCGAGAGAGGGGAGACAUGUAGCGGUGGCGAGGGACGAGAGGGUGAGCGUCGAAGCCUUUCGGGUCAGGUACAAAGAGAGACGGGAAGGAGUUGGUCGCCGCGGCCGCCUCCUAAUUUUAUUUUUAUUUUUUUUAAUAUCAUUUUCAAACCCAUCGAAUGUAAAGUCCAUUAGAUCGAAUCGAUCUAAAUUUAAACCCAUCAAAAUAAAUAAUAUUAAUAUAUUUUCUAUUUUUAUAUUUAAAUAUUUUUUAUUUUUAUUAUAAAAAUUAUUAUUAUUAUUUUCUGUAAUUUCAUAAAAUAAAUAUAUUUAUUUUCUUUUUGGUCCCCUCCACUGAGUGUUUCAGGCCCCGCCGGCGGAGCAUAACGUGUGUUCGUCCCCGACUCCGUUCGACUCUAAGCCGCCCCGUCGUGGGUUCACGGACGGCCGAGACGUGACCUUUUUAUCUCUCCUCCAAAAUCUUUAAAUAAAAUAAUCAUCAUUAUUUUAAAUAUAAAUUAUGUAAUUUAUUUUUGUAUAUCUUUAAAUCGAACCGCAUGAUUCUUCUUCCAUCAUGAGCGAGAAAGACAACCAAAAAAUCCUCCCAGCAACUAAUAAUAUGAAAUGAUGCUUCAAAAAUAAUAAUAAGUCCAUUAGUGGAAUCGGGCCGAACGAGGCCCAAAAACUAUAUUACUUGAACACUAUAUCCAUAGUUUCUCUUCUCCUACUACUACUCCAUAACGAUAUCCAUUUCCAUUCUCGACCACAUCACACACCUCUCUCUCUCUCUCUCUCUCUCUCUCUCUCCCUCCGCCGGUCUGCCUUCUUUCUUUUCCUCCGCUUUUGCUAAAGAAUGCAAACGCAAGCACGAACGCGAGCGGCUCUGAGAUUCCAAGCCUUCCCCUCCUUCGCUAACCGGGCUCCCCUUCCCUUCGUAAUCUCCUUUCCCCCUACCCGACGGCGCGUUCGAGUCCGAUGUAGUGCCGCCUCCGACGGUGGUUCCAUCGGCGGGAAUCCUCAGCAGCAGGUGCAGCAGAGGAAGGCGUACCCUUUCGAUGCGAUAGAGCCACGAUGGCAGCGCUACUGGGAGGAGAACCGAACGUUUCGGACGCCUGAUGAGGUUGACACUUCGAAGCCCAAAUGCUACAUCCUCGACAUGUUCCCUUACCCUAGGUAACAUCUCUUGUUCAGAUAACCCGUUAGUUUUCUUGGAUUAAAAUAUGAUUUGAAUGGGUUUCGUUAGCUCUUCAUACGAGAGAGAGAGAGAGAGAGAGAGAGAGAGAAUUAUGGUUCUCGAAGAAACAGCAAGGUUGUCUGCUCCAAUUUGCCUGCUUAUUCUUCUUCUAGGGACUUCGUUCGCUUCCUUUAUGCCCACACAACUAGGAUCUCCUUUCCAGACGUCCAAUCCAGAAAUUUUUCGUUAGCUCUUGAUAGGGAAGGUUACAGAUAUGGUUUCUUGAUAACCAUUCUAGUUACUAGAAUGAAAACUGAACCUGAGGUUUGAGCCUUGGUUGGUAGUGACACCAUCAGCUUUACUGGGUUUGUCAAUCUUUAGGCCAAACCACUCAAAAAUAUUAAGUAUCAACUCUAUUAGACAAGUUCAUUAUGGAUAUAUCGGUACCAACUCUAUUAGACAGGUGCAUUAUGGAUAUAUCCAUAAUGACAGGUUCAUUAUGAAUGUAUUGGUACCAACUCUAUUAGAAAUAUGUGGAAGCAAUGGACCAGAAACCCACCUAUAUAUAGUGAUUCUAGCCUUCUAGGUGUGAAUUAGUGAUGAUACAUCUGUGGGUAUUUGGAUGAAGUCAUACAAUUAGUUUAUAUAGACAUUAAAGUGUAAAUACUAUCCUAGCUUUUGACUCUUUAAUGGCUGCCUGCCUUAUGCAAAACUCCUGUCGUCUAAUCCUUUUGCCAUGUUUUCCUUAGAUUUUCCAUGUACAGUAGAAUUUUUUGUUUGUACUUGUGAAUUCAUCUUUUAUGAUCUUUAAGGUGUUAUCUGUGUAAUUAUCCAUAUAUUUUUGUAGUGGAGCUGGAUUACAUGUUGGUCAUCCCCUUGGAUAUACUGCCACCGACAUACUUUCAAGAUAUAAACGAAUGAAGGGCUUCAAUGUUUUGCAUCCAAUGGGCUGGGAUGCGUUCGGUCUUCCUGCUGAACAAUAUGCCAUUGAGGUUUGUUUUCGUGCCAUUAUUCCAUGAGAAAGUUUCUCUUGUAUCUUACUCUUAUUAGUCAAUACUUUUUUGCACAGACUGGGACACAUCCGAAGGUUACAACCAAACGAAAUAUUGAACGAUUUCGGUCUCAGGUACCGAUGCCACAUUCAUUUCUACUAGCAAUUGAGUUGAUUACAAAAAGUGUGAAUCUUCUUACAUAUGCACUUCUAGAGCAAACAAAUUGACUUCCUUUUCGUUGCAAAUACAAAGUCAAAGUAGGCAAGGUGGAUGUUGUUCAUCAUUUUAUCUUAGAAUUCUUAAUCGGCCAGCUCUAUGUCAUCUGCCAUAAGUCAAGAAACAUAAAUAGGCAACACAAAGUCUAAUUGAGUGUAACUAUCUUAUUUAAGUGAAUUUUGUAAAAUCAUGAAGUUUCUAAUCUGCUCAAUAAUGGUUUUACACAAUCUGUAAGAAUUUUGUGGAAGGAAGAAAUGCCAAAAUUGACCUUGGUAUGCAUAUGCAUUAUUGACACAAGUCACACAACUCAGCAGGCAUGUGCUAAUACUUUUUGGUCACAACAUUUGUCAACCCAUGCUGAUCAAAUGGAAAUUUUUGAUCUCUUGCCUAUGCUCUGCUCAUCUUUCAGGGACAUGCCUAUCGCCUACAAAAAGUCACUUCAUUGGUUCAAAUACUACAGUGUCAAAACAUACAUCUCGUGCAAAUUGUAGAUACUAGAAUUGCUAACUCUUUUAGUUAAUGAACUAAGAAUAAGUGAAGACAAAAACAGAGGUUGUCUAACAUGUCUAUUUUCUAACUUGAUUGACAUUCUUGUUUGUCUUCACUCAAAUGAAUUGAACUCAAAGCUUCAUUUUGUGACUCUUCAGUGGCCUUGUAGAUGUCUAGUUAUGAAUCUAGGUUUUCAAGUCUUAUACUUAUAUGGAAUGAUUUUUUUUUUGCAAUAUUAGAUUAAUUGGAAUAUUGGAUAUUGCUAGUCUUCAAACAGUUUUGAUUAAUGCUGCAGUCUAUAAGUUAAAGUAUGGUGUAAUUGCAGACAAGAGCACUAAUUCCCACUAAUAAAAGAAAAAUAGCAUCACUUAUGGUAUACUAUGCCACACAGCAGUUUAUUUCCAUGAUCUUUAUAAAACUGUCAAUCUAUCAUUUCCAUCUGAUGAUGACAUGUGGUUAUAUUUUGUAAGUUUCCAUUUGAGUAACUUACUGAGGAAAUUUUGGUUUUCUGAUCUUAUCCAAAGAAAAUUCCAUUUGAAAGUGGUAAAUACACUAACAUGAUAACUUUUGGUAAUUUUUUGAUGCACUAAUUAUAUAAUUAAUGAGUGCGAGAAAAAAAAACUAUGUAAUGUACAGAGAUAAAAAUAAUUUAAAAAAUCGUAACAUAAGUUUGACUACAAAGGAAAUAUUGAUUGUUCAUAAAAGAGUUAAUUGAUAAUUUAGUUUUUUUAGAAUCUAUUAAUAGUUUCUCAAAAUUCUUUACUAAUUUAUUUUUUAAAUCAAUUAGUAUGAGCUUAACCUUUAAUAAUUUAGCUAAUUAAUAACUUUGUCUUUGUAAAUAUAAUUUAUUUCUUAGUUUUCUCAAACCUUGUAAAUGAGAUUUAAAUGUAGCAAAAUACUAUUGUUUAAGUUAUAAGAAAACCACUAGUUAAUGCUUUAAAGUAAAUUCAUACAAGUAUGUAAUAGAUUAAGCCGAUAAAAAGUAGCUCUUGCUGAUGAAGCCUUCAACUUCUGAGCAACACUCUGAUGUGAAGAAAGUUGCAAAAUACUUUUAAUUGUAUUCUUAUCCACUUUUAUGUACCCAUUGGCACUUUCUUCAGCAGUUUUUGUAUUCUUGGUUGGCAGCUGAAGUCAAUAGGAUUUCAUAUGAUUGGGAUCGUGAAUUAUCCACCACUGAACCUGAGUACUAUAAUGCUUCAAAGUAAAUUCAUACAAGUAUAUAAUAGAUUAAGCCGAUAAAAAGUGGCUAUUGCUGAUGGAGCCGUAAACUUAUGAGCAACACUCUGAAAUGAAGAAAGUUGCCAAAUACUUUUAAUUGUAUUCUUAUCCACUUUUAUGUACCCAUUGGCACUUUCUUCAGCAGUUUUUGUAUUCUUGGUUGGCAGCUGAAGUCAUUAGGUUUUUCAUAUGAUUGGGAUCGUGAAUUCUCCACCACCGAACCUGAGUAUUAUAAAUGGACGCAAUGGAUUUUUCUUCAGCUGUUCAAGAAAGGACUCGCAUACCAGGUCUCGAACUUGUCUUAAUUUUUCUUAUAUAGGCUUUUGAUUCUUGACUCAUAGUUUGACCCUUAGGCAUUGCAACCUUUCUUUAUUGUCAUAUAUUUUCCUACUUGUGUUGAUUUUAUGUUUCAGUUUCCUGUUAAAUUGUAGAAAAAUUAAGAUAAGUUAUCUUUAAAUUCAGGCUGAAAUACCUGUUAAUUGGUGUCCUGCACUUGGCACUGUCUUGGCAAAUGAAGAAGUGGUCAAUGGUGUUAGUGAACGAGGGGGUCAUCCUGUUGUAAGAAAGGUAGUAGUGAACUUCAAAUUCUGUCCAAAGGAAGUUUUUGUCUGAUAUCUGUUCUUUUGAAUCUGAUCAGCCAAUGCGACAAUGGAUUCUCAAGAUAACUGCUUAUGCUGAUCGUCUUCUUGAAGAUUUGGAUGAUCUUGAUUGGCCUGAGAGCAUCAAAGAAAUGCAGAGAAAUUGGAUUGGCCGUUCAGAAGGUGCUGAACUAGAAUUUGGUGUAGUUGAUUCCCAGGGAUAUGAGCAAGGCCUAAAACUGUCUGUGUAUACAACUAGACCAGACACUAUAUUUGGCGCAACGUAUGAAAAGUUUUGAUUUUCUGUUGUUUAGCUUAAUGCCCAGUGACCCUUAAUUAUACCCCUGUCUUCUUUUUUUCUGUCUGCAGAUUUAUUGUUGUGGCACCUGAGCAUCCAUUGUUGUCAUCAUUAACAACUGAGGCCCAGCAUGAGAAAGUAAUUUUACUUGGUUAUUUAUUUUCUUUAUUUGUCGUGAGUUCUAGGAGUUAAACAAGAAAAACGUUACCAAUUACAAAUGCAGGUAGAGCACUACAGGGAGCUUGCUUCAAAAAAAAGUGAUCUUGAGAGAACUGAUCUUCAAAAGGCAAAGACAGGAGUUUUUAGUGGUUCAUAUGCUAUGAAUCCAGCUACUAGGGAAACCAUUCCAAUAUGGAUAGCAGACUAUGUCUUAGGAAGGUUUAUCUGGAUUUAAUUUUCGUAUAUUUCAUACAGUUUCUGGUUAAUCUUAAAAUUUUUUAUUUGACAGAAUCCUGUAUGUUCUUUCCAUGUUUGGACCAAAUAAUCAUGGUUCCAACUUCCAAGUAAUUCCUAUAUAAGAAAAUCUUUGUGCUAUGUAGGUGACAAAAAGUUACUAGUAGGUUUUUGAUCUGGUGGAAGAUGGCGAUGCUAAAAGUUGACUAGUGAAAUAUAAUAAAACAUCACCUAGACAUCAUAUGGUGCUGAAGCUUAUCUAAGUUGAAGAGGUGCUUUGGCCUAAUAUGGACUUUCAGAUUUGUGAGGAUUUUAUAAAUUAAAGCAUGUAAAAAAGAUGAGUUUGGUCAAUGAUUUUAGAAUCUGAGGUUGCCCUUUCGGGACUUGAAUUCCAUCAUAUUCAAGACAUGGAAAUAGUCUCUUUGCAUACGAAGGAGACCCUCCGCAAACCCAAAUGAGCAGUAGCUUCAUGCACUAGCUGACUGUCGUUUUCUUUUUGUGUCAUAAUAGCUUCAUUAAGCUUAAAAUUCAAUUGAUACUUGGUUCCAUUGACUCGUAAUGUUGUGCCAAUUUUUCACAUAUAUUAUUUUAGACAAAACUAAAAGUUCUUUUUCUGUUCAGCUUCUAACAUAGUAUCAAGAUUUAUUGUGUGUUCAUCAAUCUUUAUCUCUAAUAUCCCAUGUCUUGAAACUUCCAACAGCUCAUUUUAUCAACUCAAUCAAGACAAAUCACUAGAAACCAUAUAGUACACAGUGUUAAUCUUGUUAUUUGUUAGUCAGGAUUUUGUUGCUCUGUCAAUUAAAAGAUCCAUGAGAAUUAAAUCAAAACGACUAAUUAUCUGUUUUACUUCUCUGAAUGAGGAAAUAAGAAAAGGAUUUUUUGUUUUCUUACUUAUUUUUUGGAAGGAAGUUGAACUAUAUCCACCUAUCAUGUUCAUCAAGGAUUGUUGCGUCAUGGCACAAUUAUGUUUAACACCUUUUUGGUAUGUUGUGAUUUUAUGCCAUAUAGGUUAGUGUGCUUGUGCCAGUUGUCAAGGGACAAAUCUGGGAUAGAUGCUGUGACACAUGGCAUCGUCUCUUUAGCAUUACGUUUUAACCCAUUGCCACGUGUUCAUCAGUGCAACACUACUUGAUUCUCGUAUCUGUUUAAAUUCUUAUUUUUAAUUUUUUCUGUUUAAGCUUAAAUGCUCUAGCAAUCAAACACAGUUUUCUCUAGGCUUGUGAGAGUUCUACUGAUAUACGUUUGCAUUUUGAAGUCACAUUAUUUUUGUUAUUAAUGAGUUGUUAACAUCAUUGUUUGAUGGUCAUUGUGAUUAUCAGUAACAUUCCUUUUGUUGUUAAUUAGUUAUCAACAUCAUUUAUUAAUGGUCACUGUGAUUAUCGGUAACAUUCCUUUUCCAUACUUAAUAUGCAGCUAUGGUACUGGAGCAAUCAUGGCUGUGCCUGCACAUGAUUCUCGUGACUAUGAGUUUGCCUUAAAAUAUGAUAUUCCAAUAAUUAGGGUUGUAAGUCAUACUGAUAGAAGUGAUGAUGACAGUGAACCAUAUGUAGAUGAUGGUAUCAUGAUCAACUCAUCAAAUUCGUUAUCUGGUUUGAAUAUUAAUGGCUUGUCAUGCAAAGAUGCUGCUUCAAAAGUAAUAGCUUGGCUUGAGAGUACUGGUCAUGGAAUAAAAAAGGUCUCCCUUUGCUCUGUUGGUACUUUGUCUUCAGUUUGGCAAUGCCACUGUGUAUUAUUUUGCCCUAUCUUGGACUGAGCAUGUUGUUUCGUUAGGUCAACUACAAGCUGAGGGAUUGGCUUUUUGCUAGGCAACGCUAUUGGGGAGAACCUUUUCCUGUGGUUUAUCUGGAUGAUAGCGGUGAAGUAGUUCCUUUACAGGAAAAUGAGCUUCCGUUAGUACUUCCAGACUUGGAUGACUUUAACCCUACUGGAACAGGGGAGCCUCCAUUAGCAAAAGCAACAUCGUGGGUAUGUUACUUUAAACAAUAUAACAAACAUAAGUAUCCAUCUGGAUAAAAUAGCAACUUGUUUUCUUGGUUAAUUUUGCCUUGUCCUUGUAGAUAGAUGUUAGUGGCUCUGAUCUUUUGAUUAGUCUGCAAAGUCUCUUUUAAUCAUGGAUUGGUGUAUAGAUUUGUUGAUAUGAGCCUGUAUGUAUUGCUUCAGUGAAACAUCAAAAUGUAGACUGCUUUUCAUUUUGUUAUACUUAUUAGCUAUUGAUCUUUCAUGUUCUAUGGUUAGGCUAGAUAUGCCCUUUUCUCCAUCAUUUAGUCUCGACUAUAAAGAUCAUCAUAUGCCUAGUAUUGAGUUUCAAUGCUUUCUUUUUUUAUCAAGCCAACACAUAUCUUCAAAAAUUUCAGCUCCUGCUUUUCUAUCAUGCAGUGUAACAUUUCUUUUGCAAAUAUUGCUUCUCAACCAAAUGCUCAACUGUCCCUUGAUAUACUAGCAUUUAAUUGAAGAAAAUAUGGCACAAAUGGAACUUAGCUAAAAAUCAGAGUUAUUGUAUCAUAAUUCCCUAUAGUUUGGUUGUGUUAUUAUUUGGUUUUGUCUGGGAUGAGUUGGUCCAGUGAUAUUGUCCACUGCAAAUGACACUAUACUGACUGAAAAUCUCAGUUGGCUACCUCAUUGUGGUUGUUUGAUUAGAUAUUGCUUCUAGUCAUAUAACAAAUCUUGUUUGAAUAUAGGUUAAGACAGUGGAUCCUGUAUCUGGAAGACAUGCAAGACGAGAAACAAAUACAAUGCCGCAAUGGGCUGGUUCCUGCUGGUAAUAGACUCAUUGCAGCAUUUAUAAUAUGUUUUGUAUGUACUUUCUUUUUCUUUUUGGAGUACAUAAAUCUGGUGUAGCAUGUGCCAACCUGUGCUUCUUGUAGGUAUAUAAAUUAUUAAAUGCAUUGGCAUUGGGUCAUAUUAGGGUUAAUCCAUUUUUUAUGUGACCCCAAUCUGGUGUAAUUGGCCCUAUUGAAACUUGAAUUCAUAGGGGGAGAGAGAGAACUUGAAAGACAGGAUUGAUGCCGAGAAGAUGAAGUUGCCAUUGGUUUAGUCAGCUUUACAGGCGUAGCAGAUUAGAGACUGAAGCAAGCUGUGGAAUAGAGUGCAUGGAUUCAGAGGAUGCCUUAGAGUUGGAGAUGGAUCAGAAUAUGGAAAUUGGGAAUUCACUAGGGUUUUGUUUAUCCCUUCGACUAUUUAGUGUAAAUAUAUACAAUAUCAAUCUAUAACAUAAUAUGUUAUAUCUCAUGCAGGAACAAGCAGCAUGGUACAUGAGGCCCUGGCCUUAUAUUCAGUCUUACAAUUAGAGAUGAUGUUUCCAUUAUAUCCUUGUCGCUCAAGUCACAAAGAAGCAAUCUUAUUGUGAUGUGUGGUGCCAUAGAUCACUUUCUAUGUAAUAUAUCAUACAAUCUCUGUUGUAAAAUUUUAUAUCUGAUAUCAAAACAAUUUAUGUACAGUAUAUUAUGUAAUGCUACAUAUGUUAAAGAUCUGGAUUAGAUCAUAAAUUGAUCUGAGCAACACAGAUCCAUAUCUUAACCAAUUGUGAACUGGAUCAGAUUGCACCAUUAUUAUCUGUGUCAUUAGGUCAAUCCAUUAUUAAUUGAAUUAGGUAUCGAAUUGGAUUGUGUUGGAUAUGACUUCAACCUUAGUUGGUCAUGCCAACACAUAGCAAAGCUAAUUUUGGCAUAUGUUGGGUAGCACAAUGGGCAAAGUAAACUAUGCCACACAGGUUGGUCUUAAGAGUUUAAAUUACAGAAAAAUAUUGCUUUUCCUAUCAAGAGCAUUGCAAUACAGAAAAGUUCCGGUGUAACAUCGCUCAAUUUUUAGUAGUGUCCUUCGGUUUGUCCACACACGUAAAUUGGGUUGGUAUUUGAUUUCAACUAAAUUAGCCUACUUUUUUCUUUUCGAGAUAUCAUUCUUUAGAAUUGAGUGUGCAAUGACAAUCUAGGUUUAGUACCAGAUGCUAGCUCAGUGGUAAUUUGAGCAACUCAAGGAUCACAUAGCUUUUUUGAUCUAUGUAUUGUUUGAGCCAGUGCUAUGGAGCAAUAGCACUGGCUCCUUAUCCUCUCUAAUCGAGUACAAGUUCUUUCUAUUCUUCUACUUCCAAAAUAUCUUGGUUAGGUUUUGGUCUUUGCUUUAGUUUUGCAUUAUUUAGCAUCCUCACAUCUCUUCCAAAAGUCAUUCUUUUGAUAACAGGGAAAACUUUUGAUAAUGAAGUUUAAAGCCUUCAAGAAGGGGAAAUCUUUUGGUACAUGUUAUCUAUAAGGAUGGCUUUCUUCUUGUGACAUCAAUUUGAAAUAAAUUUAAAAUCAAGAUCAUCUUUUUUCUACACUAUUUUGUAACUAUUACCCUAUGUUAUGUCAUUGCAGCAUUAGUGUUUCUGAAACCCUGAGAAUUGUCCAAUAUAGUGUCAUAUGGAAUAUUAUUUGAACACUUUGCAGGUAUUAUUUGAGAUUUAUGGACCCAAAAAAUCCAACUGCAUUGGUUGGCAAAGACAAAGAAAGGUUCACAUGCUGUUCCUUCUGCCACACUUCAUGAACUCAGUUUUAAGCUUGACAUGGCUAACAAAAUCUUGUAUGGCUUUCAUCCUAGGUACUGGAGCCCUGUUGACAUAUAUGUUGGUGGUGCUGAGCAUUCUGUCCUACACUUGCUUUAUGCUAGGUUUUGGCACAAGGUUUGUUUCAUAAUAUAUUUGAUUAAAAUCCCAUUUUGUGGUGGUUUAGGAAGUGACUUGAGACAUUUGUGUCGGUCCCAUGAAAGGAUGUUGAACUUUUAAACAUGGUAAAAAUGGUAUAUAUUAUGCUAGUAAAGUACAGCUAUAAUAGAAGUGUGUCUGUCAUGCCAAUUGUAUGAUCUAGUUCACUUUCUGCACCAACAAGCAAUCUUAGACUGUAAAUUAUGGCUUGCACUAGCAUGACAACAGCACAAGCACAGGCAUAUGCACAAUAUGCAGUACUAAAAUCUUUGGUUUCCUUAAACUAUUUUGAAACUUUUAAUUCUUUUCAUUUGAGUUUUUUUGAAAUUCUUGGUUUACCAAAAUCCUUGGUCUUAUUUCCUUGGAGGUAUUUAAUACUUUUAAGUUUUAACAUUGUUUUAAACUAAGAAACUAUGUUCUGCCUUACAGGGCAAAAAUGAAGCUUUCCCACCGGAAUUCUAGCAGUGAUUUGAUCAUGUCCAAUCCUGAUUGAGAAAGAUAUAGUAAUUAGACAUGGACACAGAAAUACUUAAACCUUAACCUCUUACUGACUCAAUCUAUUUCCAACUUGACAUUUGCUUCAUUGUCGUGCCUAAAAUUGAUGCUACCUAGUUGUUGAAACCUGUUCUUUUGUUGUACUUUCCAUUCUUCUCUUUCCUUUGCACAUUGUAGGUCUGUUUAUGACUAUGUUUGCAUUUAUGUCCAAGUGUGUUCUGUAUUGUGUAGCUUGCUAUUUCUUAAUUUUUCAAUCUUGCUAAACGCUAUUUGCUAACAGUCUUAAGAGUUCCUCAUAUGUAGGUCCUGUAUGAUAUAGGUGUGGUUUCAACCAAGGAACCUUUUCAGUGCCUUAUAAAUCAAGGGCUAAUACUUGGUGAAGUAAGUAAACUGAUUCAUGGACGUAAACAAACUAAAGUAGCGAUUAAUAAUAUCUAACGGUCUUGUUACAGAUAGAGUAUACAGCAUUCAGAGACCAAGAGGGGAGAUUAGUUUCUGCUGAUUCUGUUGGCAUCACCGAUAACCAUUUUCAAGAGAGAAUACCUGCAGAGAAGGUAUCUUGCAAAACUGCCCAAUUUAAAUCCAAAUAUUGGAGCCUUAAUUGACAAUUUUUCUUCUAUGUUCUUACAAGUCUGACAAAUAUUUCUAUCUUGCAGGUGAUGAAAGUUGGUGACUUUUAUGUUAUAAAAGAUAAUCCCAGUAUUAGAUUAGUUGCUCGAGCCUACAAAAUGAGUAAAAGUAGAGGAAAUGUUAUCAAUCCAGAUGAUGUUGUUUCUGAGUAUGGUGCAGAUUCUCUCAGGUUGUAUGAAAUGUUCAUGGGACCAUUAAGGUAACUUUUUCUUUUACAUUAAGUGAAAUAAGCUAUUGAUAUUCAUGCUGACAUUUGACUUUUAUAGGGAUUCAAAGACAUGGAGUACUGGUGGAAUUGAAGGAGUACAUAGGUUUCUAGCUAGGACUUGGAGAUUGAUUGUAGGACCCCCUUUACCUGAUGGAUCAUACAACUGUGGAACAAUUGCCACUGAUGAUGAACCUACCUUGGAUCAGUUGCGGAGUCUUCACAGAUGUAUUGCAAAAGUCAGGUUCUUUCUGCAGCUUCAGGGUCACACAAUUAAGCAACAAUUUAUUCUGAUAAAAUUUUCCCUUUUGAUGGGUCAAACUUGGUUUCAUAUUUACAUUUUGCAAAUAGCAUGGUUAGAAUUAUUAUCUUUUGCUUAUCCAAGGGUUUUGUUUUCUGUUGUCCACACAAAAAAAGAAAGAAAAAACAUAUUUUUCUUAAUUGUGUAUCAUCUUAUUCUCCUUUUUGCAGGUAUCAGAAGAAAUUCAAGAAACAAGAUUCAACACAGGAAUUUCUGCAAUGAUGGAGUUCGUAAAUGCUGCUUAUAAGGUUUCUGAAAGCAUUUGAUUCUUUAGCUGUAGUAUCAUAACUGCUUUUGCAAGUUCAUUAAUUCAUAGUUUUGUCAGCUUAGUGAAAACUUACAAGUGGGAUACAACUCAGAAUUAUUACUACUAGACAUUAUAACUUGAACAGAUUUUUCUUUCCUGUUUACUUCUGUCCAAGGAAUGCAAUUUUCACCAGUUUAGUAUGGUAUGGCCAGUAUUUGCAGGUCCGACUGUCACGGACUUAGCUGGAAUUGCCUAAGUCGUAAGGCACCCUUGCGGUUAAGAUGCGAACUUAGCUUGAGUUGCCUAAGUCGCGACGCACCCUUGCGUCGACUUCUCGGACUUAGUUGGGAUUGCCUAAGUCUUGAGGCGUCCUUGUGACAUAUGCGUCCGCAAAGGUUCAACCUAGUUGCAACCUUGUACAAAUCCCGAAGGACCUGUAAAACAGAAAGUUGAUUAGAUUGAAAACGAGCGACAGAUAAGUCCCGACGUCUUGCAAAACGGAAAGCUUUACAAGCAAUUCAGCGAGCACCUUGUGUGCACAAGAGAAAAUAGAAAGAGGAGAAAAACAAGGACGUUAGAAGAUAGAACGAACAGUUGCAAGUCCACAAAUAACUGCUCACCGGGUGCCGGACGCGAAGACAAGUUCCGAAACAUAAACAAAACUUCUAAAAAUCUUAGAUUAGCGUAAUCAAGGCAUACAUCAAAAUAUUAUUCAUUCCAGUGCAAUAAUACAUACACGAGAACAAGAUUUUUAACAUUGAUGAUCACAAGUUACUGACAUACAUGCACGACAUAUGGCUUAUUUCCUGCUAAUACAAAAUGGAUAUCGUGCUAUUUCAGGAACUGUUAUUGGCUGAAGGUCAAUAUUAUGUGUUCAAAACCUACAGAUAAUAUUGCUUCUACAUCAUGUGAUGUUUGUAGACACUAGGCUACUUGUUGAUUAGAUGAGUAAAUAUCCACACAGUUGGAUCACUGAUUGAGAGACUUGAUAUGGUACAUUGGUGGUGGUAUAUAUAAAAAUACAUAUUUGUUGUUGAGUGCUUGCACUGUUAUACUUUGCUGCUCUUAUGAGUAAUAGCAAGGCUCAUCAUUGCCAUGGCAUAGCGUUCAGUAUGGACAGUAUGCACCGGUUUAAGAUGGGAUCGGUAUGGGCAAUAUAUAUCAGUCUGUCGGUGCACCCCCACCGUACCAUAUGUCGGUAUGUCGGUACAUACCAUAUUGAUGAUCAGUCGUUACACCGGUACGGACCAGUAAGACGAAUCAUAAGUAAUAGGAUCCACUAAUUUAGCAAAUUGAGACUGGCUAUUAUUGUUAUUCCAAGACCCAUGGGUAUUAUAUUGAUUGGAAGGUAAUUGCAUGGAUCUAACGUAGGUCCACAUAGUUUUUGACUAGUUCUGGGUGGAUUUGACUCAUAUUGGUUGGAAGGCAGUUGCAUGGAUCCUAGCUAGAUCUACAUAGUUUGUGACUAGAUCUCGGUGGAUCUGACUUGAAUCUGUGUAGAUUUAGGUUUAGGUAUGGAUUGGUACUACCUUAAUUAACUCCAAUACUGAGUUGCUGAUCAGUAAAUUGAUGCAUAAACAACAAAAGUAGCAUGAAGCAAGAGAGAUACUGCAUGCAAAUGAAGAUUAACAAUGAAAUUCAGAAACUAACUUCAGACUUACAGUAAUUUGGAAAGGAAUUCUUCCUUGCUUGAAAUUUGAUGCUUGAUCUAAGAGGAGUGGAGAGGGGGGUGAUAAAAGGCAAGCAAUAGUUUGAAAUGGAUCUUUGGAUAAAUUUCAGCCGUAGACCCUCUGAGCGCGUGAGACGUUAAAUGAACUGGGUUAGCUGGUCCACAUACCAGUAACUGUCAGACCGAUAGUAUCUAGCCAUACAUACUAGUUGGACUGGUUUUAAAUCAUUGGUUCCUUCUGAUUAAAAUUUUAGGUUUUGGUGCAGUUAAAAUGCUCUUGCACUUCUUGGCUGUUUAGUUGCUUUAUAGUGCUUCUCAACCAUUCUUGUAGUGCAACCCAAGUAUUGCCUGGUUUAGUGGCUAGCCAGUGUUUGCUAUUGAGUUUAAUAACCUUGAUGUUUUAACAUUGUGCAGUACACAAACAUCUCAGAGAAAUCUUAAAUUAAGGUUUACUGAGGUAUUUCUUUUUUUGAUAGAUGACAUUGAGCUAUUAGGAAGUUAUUCUCUUUUUGGUUGAAAGGUAGAUAUAACCAGAUGGACUUGACUAGGAUGUGUUAAUUUACCUACCAAGAUACUGCUGCAUAUGGAUGCAAGUAUAUGCAAAUCAUGUAUGUGAAGGUCCCCACUGGAAAUGUAUGUCAUCUUGGAUCAUGCUAUUCUACUUUGUAAAAGCAAGAUCUACUGUUUCCUAAAUACUUGAUUACUUUGAAUAUUUCUAGGAUAUCUUUGUUUGACACUUUCAAUAUAUGCAUGUGCUACUUGUUUGAAUGAAUCGCUUUAAUCUACAUAUUCUUAACUAUGGUCGGGGGAUGACUGAAGCAUACUUGUUAUUUAUUACUAUUUCUUCAGUUCUUCAAUCUAUAUAUAGUCAGAUUGUGAUUUCAUUCAAUAGAAUGUGUCUAAUUUGGCUACUUUUCUGUAUGUUUUUUUAGUGGGAUAAACACCCAAAAUCAAUUUUGGAGCCGUUUGUUCUCUUGCUUUCACCUUUUGCACCUCACAUGGCAGAGGAACUCUGGUCUCGAAUGGGACACCAAGAAUCACUUGCAUAUGAACAAUUUCCAGAGGUACCAAUUAGCUUUCUUUGAUGCUAUGUACUCACUAAUUAAGCACAUUUGUGGUCAACUGGAUGCUAUGUGUAAAAGUUCAUGAAUAAUGCAAACCAACUUUUAUAUUUGUUUUAAUGAUGAACUUGGCAUUUGUCAUUGGCAUUUUGUAUGGAGACCCCUCUACAAAAGAAUGAACUUAGGAAGUGAAAUGAACGAAAGUAAUGUAUCUUUGAAAUGCAACACUGAGACUCUAUGCAACAUCAUAAAUCUUUUUAUAAAGUCACUACUUUUUGUGGAGAUUAAUGGUUAAAUUGUAUACUGGAAACUAAAACAUAUUUGAUUCCUAGAGAAUUGACAUUAAACUAUAUUCUAAUUGACUGUUUAAGAAGUCAUGUGCCACGUAUGUUGCAUAUAUAUUUGACAAGCAAAAAAUUGAUGCUUCAUGUGCUUGCAAAUUUCUGCUCACUUUCCAAAGUAUAAAAGGAAAUAUAUCAUUUGUAAAAGCUGUCUGGUUUCUUCCUAGCUUGGCUCAACUACUGUCACCAAUGUCUAUACCUUAGAAUUGAUAAUUCCUGUACAUAACUAUUGCCAAGUGCUUUUGCGUGAAAUACAGUUAAAAUUUAUCUGGUUUGCUCUUAGCUUGUCUCAACUAUUAUUACCAAAAUCUAUACCUUAUAUUUGAUAAUUCUGCACAUAACUAUUGCUUGGUGCUAAAUGAAGCCCCAGUUAAAAUUAGCAUCUUGAUUGGAGAAAAAUUAUGACAACCAAAUUACUAUAAUACGCCUGAAAAUAAUUUAUAUUUAAGUUUAUCUUUCACAGAAAUACCUUUCUUAUUUGCUAACAUUACAUUAAAUUCAAAGAUGUGUAUUUAAUUUGUAUUAUGUUCUUGUUCAUCCUCUUUGUAUCUCAUGUUUUCCACAAUUUGGUCCAGGCUGAAAGUGAGUUUUUGAAAGAUUCAAGCAUUGUGCUGCCAGUUCAAAUCAAUGGGAAGACCAGGGGCACCAUCCUGGUCGAUGAAGCAUGCUCUGAGGAUGAUGCAUUUAGAUUAGCAUCAGAAGAUGAAAAACUUUCCAAGUAUAUUUCGGAAAGGAUGAUAAAAAAGAGAAUCUAUGUUCCUGGAAGAAUCUUAAAUGUGAUACUAGAUCAUCAUAAGGUCAGUUCAUGAUCAUUUCCACAGAUACAUAUAUUGGGCUAUGUAAUACUCCUUGUCAUGGUUUUCAGCACAAUGAUUAUUCUUUAGAUAGGUUUGUCAGAUGUUGUAUGUGGUAUUCAUUGUGCUGCAUAGCAUGUACAAUAAAUUUAUUCUUCCAACUAAUUUGGUAAAACAUAUUUCAUUAUAUGCUUCAUGAUGAUUCUGUACAUCGCAUUUUUCUAAUGGAAUUAGUAAAAGAUUGUUAGGAAGAGAUAACCUCAAAUGAAAUAUUAAGUACAGAAAAUGAUUAAACAAUAUCCUUAUUUCUAUUGUUUUGUACAUUUAAGUCUUGUAACAGGACAUGACUAAAUCCUGAAUAUCAUCCUUGGUUUUUGUUUGUUCAAAAUAUAGACCAGCCUCCAAAGAGCAUUUGGUUUUUGUUUAAUGGUUAAGAAUUCUUCCAUGAGAGAGCUCUGUAAUUUUCAUACCUUAUGUUCCUGGCACCUAAUUUCUAUUUCUGUGGAAGGCCUGCAUAGUCAUAACUGCAUGCAAAAGGAAUUAAAACCCCCCUACUCUGACAUCAUAGGAAUUUACAAUUCAUGCAAAGAAAGAAAAGUUAUUUGUUUCCUCUGAUCAGCAAUCAUGUUGCAUUGUCCUCUUUGAGCUAUUCUGAUUAGGUAGAAUUUUACUAAUUGGUUGAGGUUCAAUGCUUCAAUUUGUAUGAAGUUUUUGUCUGUAAUUUCAGUAUUUUCCCUAAUUUUACAUUCGCCAAGGCCCAAACCUAUACUGGCAGGAGUUUUGUGCAUUGGUCAUUCUUGCAAAAUCUGUUACGUAGAGUACCCAUCCUUAAGUUCAUGAAACAAAUUCAUUUGUGUGGUUGCCAUUAUUUAAAUGCUAAUUACAUCUUUAGCAAAUUAUAUGGCCUUAAAAAGCUGCAAGAAUCGUCUGUGUUGUGAGGGUUGUCAUACGAACCUCUCCUUUUUUGCAACAACCCAAAACAAAUCCAGAUAUUGGUGCUCAGGAGUUCCUUCUCUAGAAAUAUAUUUGCAGUAACUAUUCAUGCUACUCUAUAGCAUAUAAGAUUGUUCUGUUGCUGACCUCUCUGCAAGCACAUUGUGUUAAAAUCUACGGAAGUCUUUCGUGGAAUGAGCCUCUGGAAUUCAAUGGGUGCUUAGACCUUAUAAAUGUUGCAUGAACGUGGGGAAGUCAUUUCCCUGUUCCUCAUCUUUUAUGUUGAAGACUUGGUACCUCCCAACUGAUGCUCUAUACUGGUUGGCACUUCAAUAUUGUAUAAGCCGUGAGGACCUGAAGCUCUCUGUUAAAUAUACAAGAUGUAACAAAGUGAUGGGCAAGCGCAUCAGUGGCAUGUCAGGACGAAGGAUAUUUUUGAGAAAUUCUCGUGUUGAGAAAAUGUAGCAUGGGCAUUGUGGUUUCGUGGUGCAAUGAUGUCGGGAUCCGGUGAUGAUGUCAGGUUCAGUCCCCUGAUAAAUAUUUUACAAUCCAGUGAGCAUAUGUUCCAUUUUGCAUGUUAUGUUUUAUGAUAGAUUGAGGUUCGAAUGGGGAAGCUAACGCGAGGAGUGAUGAAAUGACACGACGGCCCAGCUAUCUGGAUUCUCUCCUGUGAGACAAGUAAAUUACUUUCAUUCCCUGAUUUUAUUAGUGAAUGACAUAAAUGUUUUAUUUUCUGGCCUGUUUUAUUAGAUCAUCAACUUUCUGUUGUUGGCAAGGUUCAUGUUUGGUCUUACAAUUGUCUGUUGACAGAAUAUUUGUAUGUGAUAAAUUUAUGUCUAUAUUUUAUAGUUGGUGUCAUUACAAUAAAUCUUAAUAGUCCCUCUGUAUGCAGGGAUAAGACUGCUCCUGCAAGAGCCUUGUGCUUGUUGUGUUUGAUCAGUAUAGUUCUGUUAUUUAUGUCUCUGAGGAAUCUUUGAGAAGACAUAGUUGGAGGACAUUAUUUAGAUAAAUUAGACCAAGCACCAAGGUAAUUUUGAGAAUAAUACAGAAAUCACCAGCAACAGAGGGAAAUGCUCCUACUAGAGGACAAGUUUAAGAUAGAAGUAUUCAACAGUUAGGCCAGUCUUCAAUUAAACUAGUCUUGAAAAAGCACAAAGAAACAUGGUCCGGGUUUCAGUCAGCCCUCGGCUCGGAACUGUACCUACUGCCUGUUUCAUACGGUUUUAGGUGGUACACCAGUCUUUGAAAGGAAUGCUUAGUUGAGACAUCUCUUUUUCCAGGAAAUGCCAUGUUCAACCUUUUGAUGUGAUAGGAAAAUAACUGUUUUGAGUGUAACAUAGUUCGUGAUGAGGUAUAUCCAUGAUGAUGUUUUGGAUUAUGUGAGUUCUCUUCAUUUGUGUACAUGGUUCGAGCAGAGAUUAUUUUCUACUCUGCAGCAAGCGAAAAGAGAGCGAGUGAAUAUGGGAACGAUCAGAUGAGAGAGGUUAGAACUUAGAAGGAAGAAGUAAUCGAAUCUAGGCGACCAGCUAUACAAUGAUUGUUUAUAUGAAUUUGAUUUGAAACUCGUCUAUUUCAUCAGUAAAAUAAUUCUGCAAUUAAAGCUGUUCUAACUCUGCUAGCUUCUUGUAGAUCCACAGAGUUAACCAUCUAAUUUUUUUUUGGAUAAAGUAUGAGUUUAGUCCUGUAUGUUUUUAUUUGAAGCAUCUUCAUCUUAUUAGGCCUUAAAUGUUGUGCUCAAGUUGGAACAAUGGAAGCUAUGGAAAGCCCAAGGGAAACCAGUCUCAUAUAGUCUUCCUCUGUAGUCGUCACCGAGCACCAAUCUCACAAUUCAGCAAUAAGAGAAUGAUGGUCGAUCAAGCCUUUUGCUUGCGAGUUUGACAAGGCAGCAAUGGCGCACAUCAAGAAAGUUCCAGUAAGAUUGUCAAAUGGCUUCCAUCACCACGAGGCCAUUGAUGGGUUUCAACAAGAGGAGUUUGUGCAGAUGGUUGAGAAGCUCAACCGAGAGAAGGUGGUUGCAGAAGCAGGAACAAGGACUAAUUACGCCAUCUGAUGAAGGGGGGUGUACGUAGCUUCAGCCUCAUCAGCUUUCUAUUCCUGCAGAUCAUUGCUGCUAUACUUCAGAUGUUCUCCCAUACAGCUAUCUGGAGGACAUCUUCACAUCUUGCUGCAAGUAUGGCUCAUAGGAUACAAAGUUGCAGUAAGUGGGAAAUAUAAUGGAAAGCAGUCUGAUAGAUCUCUAUCCGAGAGACUGCCCUGCGUUCGAGGAUGUGAAACUCCAUUUACAGGCGCAGGUGAAACGAAAAAAAUGGAGGCCUCCUUGGAUAAAACACCUUUCUUGCUGAAAGCCUGGGGUCUUCUCCAUCAAUAUCACGGCAUACAUUGACUCAUGUAAAGCUUAGAAUUUGUACCGAGUAGAGUUGAUUGAAAGUUGCCACGCAUCAAAUCAUUAGAUGCGAUGGCAUGACAUACAUGACUUGUGUAAAGCUUAGAUUUUGGACUACGUAGAGUAGAUUGAAAGUUACUUCAUAUUACAUCGUCACACAGGAAAUAAGCUAUCGAAGUGCAUUCAAGUGUAAACCUCCAAUGGUCCGAAAAUAACUCAGUUGUGUUGGAUGUGAAGAUUGUAAUUUUUGUUUUUCAGCUCUGUUGACAAGUGAGCCCAUUUCGAUUUAGCACUCGGAUGUUAUUGAUUGCACUGUUUCUUCCUGGCAGUAGUAGUAGUAAUAAUAGUUUCGCCUGGUUUAAGAACAGACAACGAUGAGCCCAUGAUUGUUAAAUGUGAAAUAAUACAAUAAAUUGUGGUAAUUACUUGGUCAUUAGCUAACUUUUUGGUGCUCCAGUUAGUUGCACAAAAAAAAAAAAUGAAUUGCCUAAACAAAAGGAAAAUUGAUGAAAGGGUUUGACCUUGUAGGUUGAUUAAGGACUCGGAAAUAUAUAUAUAUAUAUAUAUAUAUAUAUAUAUAUAUAUAUAUAUAUUUCACUAUCUUAAAUUAUUCCAAGAGGCACUCUACACUUGAAAGGCUUGCGGUAUGCUCACCCUAAAUUGGGUAACCUCCGUGGCGGAUUCUAAGGUACAGCCCGUGAAGGAGUGGGUUGUCGUCACCAUCGGUGAGAAUAAAAUUUGCGAAUUCGAAGCAUUUGAGCCCAAAAAAAAAAAUUUCGGGUCUCUUUGCCAUCCAAGUGGGAUACGGUGAUCUCACCUGCCGGUCAUUGGACUUUCAUUUCCCCAAGUGCAGCUUCUUUACGGCGGCCCCCACUUUCUUCGCCGCCUAUCAGAUGGCAGGAAGCAUAGCUUCUCCAAUAGCGCGUAAAAAGAUGGGCUGUGGUCACCUCCCGUGAGGAUAAUACGGCGGAACUGGAAGAAACCGAGGCCCAAAAAAAUCUUUUGGGGGGAUUUUUUUGCAUCUAAUCGGCGUUGGGUAAACGCACCUGCGAGUCACUGGACUUGCCCUUUUUCCCAUUACCUGGAUUCAUUCAUGUAUGGGCGAAAUAAACUCUAUAAAAUUGUAAUUACAAUUACUCGAUGGAAACAUACUUUUCUAAGGGUACAGCUGUGUGAAUCAAUCAUCCUAAACACACUAUUUUUGGUGUAACAAAUAUUUAUUUACGAAACACAUAAUUAUACUUGCUAUGUCAUCAUUUAUAAACGCGAAAAUCAUAAUUUUAUUCGAUGAAAAAUUACGAUAAAUAUGUUAUACAUUAUAUUGAAGACACGUCACGUAUACCACGUGAUACCUAAUGAAUAUUACAAAUAUUAUUCCCAUGUUACUUCACAUUUCCAGCUUCGAUGGACUACUUGGGCCGAGCCCUCUCGAAGCCCAGCCCAUUCCUACCAUGGUUAUGCUCACCGCAGUAAGAAUAAGAACACAGAACGACAGCGGCUUUUACACGAAUUUAGUUUUCUCCCAAGGAACUCUACGCUCGAAAGGCUGGUGGUAAGCUCACCGAGAACGAAACAACAAGACACUUAAUAAGGCGGCUCAUCUGGAAACUCCCAGAGAAAUCGUUUGGGAGAAAAAAAAAUGGUAAAUAGAUUAGUUGAUACAAAAAUAAUAAUAAUUGUACGUGUAAUAAUGGCGUUAGAUUAGUUAAAUUUUUCACACAGAUUUAUUUAUUAUUAUUUCGAAGGCACUUAAAUCUCUUUAUAGAUUGAUGGAUGGAUGGAUGGAUGAUAGAUAGAUACUCGGCAGGCUCACCCAAACUUGUUGGCCACGUAGCGGAUUCGGUCCACGGACUAGGAUCCAGUCACCGCAGUGAGGCUAAGAAAUCUGACAUCGAGGGGUUUGAGGCCCAAAAGAAUUUUUUUUAGGCCUCUUUGACAUCGCACUGACGUGCGGUAAGUUCACCUAAACUUAUCGAUGACAUGGCGGGGUCAGCCCGCAGCCGAUUGAUCCGGUCACCGCCAUCAGACUUGGAAAUCUGACCUCCCUCCAGGGAUUGGACGCCACAGACGUGCGGUAAGUUAACUCGGUAUCGUCACUGAAGCUGGUUGCGGAUUCAGCCUAUGGACGAUGAUCCGGUCACCGCAGUAAGAUUACGAAAUCUGACCUCCAGGGAUUUGACGCCAAAAAAAUUUUUUUGGGGCCUCAUUGUCCUCGCACUGACAUGCGGUAAGUCCACCGUCGAGUCCUCACACUCUUUAUUGUUUUUUUGCCCUUUUUCUUCUUCCCCGAGUCGAGUCCGUCGCUGCUGAUUCAACCGGCGAGAGGCCAAGCUUCUGUGUUCUUCGAUUCCCCAGGAGGGACACACCCUCUUGGUGAUAGGGUGUGUUUGUUCCCCUGCAAUUUCUGCUUUUCUCCACCUUAUUAUCAUACGUUUUUCAUUGCGAUUAAUCCACGAGUCGUCACCUUCUGUUGUUGUAUUGAGAUUCUACGUGAGACGUUGCCUGUGCUUGCGGAAUGAACCUCUGGUUUGGACAGAAAUGAUCCGUAAAGAACCGAAAGAAACUUGAUCUACUGCUUUCCUCUCGUCGACUUGGUCUACAGAGAGAGAAUUACUAUGGUAGACGGAGUCUUUACUGCAUGACCAAUGAAUGGUAGAGAGAGGGUGAGAGAGUGGUCCACCGUCUUGGUUGUCACUGCGACAUUUAAUGGUGAUGUAAACAUUUCAGCUGCUUUGUCGAUAAAGAUCACCAUCUGUAUGAUGAAGAGAUUUCAACGGUUGCUUCUCCAUUGCCGAGUGUCCCGUCCCGUUCACUACAUUCUUUUUGUUUAUAGCACGAUGUUGGAAUAGAAUAACUGGUUCUUCAUGUGUGGGUGCUCCGCCAUUAUCGAGUCGCAGGAACUGCGCUUCCACCAGGAAGAAGAAAGAUGCAGGAAACAACUCCCCCCAUGCGCGAUCGCCUUGUAAGGAGGAAAAAAGAAAUGAGGCAAGAUCAUCAUUUCGUAUGCAAUUCACACAUAAACUAAGAUUGCCCACCUCAUGAUCCACAUAUUCGUGUCGCUUGCAUAGAGACCAAACACUAUCUCAUUCAUUAUGAAUGUACAUCACAUUCGCUACCUUCCAACCCUUGGCAUCGACGACGACGACUGUUGAACGAUUAGGCCACAUCCACAAAAAAAAAACACACACACUCGAGGAUACCUUCCCGAUGACAGGAAGAAGAAGAAGAAGAAGAAAAUGAACAUUCAUGGAAACACUUGUAGAGAAAUCCUAUAACAUUCUAUAAAUCUUCGUUGUCAUUCUUCCACCAUACAUUUUUCUCCAAGUUUUCCUUGUCUUCAUCCUUAAUUUUGUGCGGAAUCAUCUUCAGAAUAUGACCAACUUCUUGUUUGGUCGUAUUCCAUAUCCCCACAAACGUGUGGCUGAUCAAUCAUGAAUUCUUUUAAUGAGUUUGCUUUGUAAUUUUCAGAUUUUGAACCUAUAAAGAAAGAUUAUAAACAUAUGAGAUACAAUACAACGAUAAUAAUUAAGAAAAAAAAGGAGUUCCAUGACAUGACCUCAAAUUCUGAUGACUAGAGAACAGUUAUCGAUGCGCUGAUCGGCAUCUGCUGAGUGUGGAAACGACUAAGAACUUGUCAUCUUAGUCAUUGACCUACAACCCAUGCCAGAUAUUUAGGAAAUGCUUGUUCAUAUUCAAGCACUAUCUCUCUUCUAUGACAAAGUGGGGCUCCAACCACUAGCAACAUCACGGCCACAUCUUGAUCCUGAGUGCAAGAAGAGCAUCACUACUGAUAUGGCUGGCGAAUACAGUUUGAUGGGGAUCACUACUUAUCUGCCUAAACCUGCGUUCUGUUCAAAUAAUGGCCUUAGAAUGCUUUCGAAUAACAAGGAGUAGUGACUUAUAGCAUCUGCUCCGAGCUCAUAGGCUUGGAUUACUCGAUGACCGUAACCUUUUUUCCUUGGGAUAGCACCUCUGUUGUAUUCAACAGCCAAGGAGCAGUAGAAGAAGAAAGGUGCCGUGCCCAAUUACCUGCAAGACAAGGCACAUCCUGUUGAUGAAACCUCUCGAGCCAGUGAUGGCUAGUAUCUUCCACAUGUUUCUAGUGGAAGACAAUGGAUUUAUAUGCUGCCAAAAAGUCUACUUCCAUUUAGUGCCGCAGCAGCAUCUUCGUAGUGCACGGCCAUUGGGCGGACCACAUGUAAUUUACGACACAGAUUGAAGAUGUUGAAGGGGAAAUGGAAAAGGAUCGGUCGUGGGCGAGGAGGAAACAGGGAUGAGGUUGGCGGGGCAUCAAAAGUAUUAUUGUUCCACAACCUUCCACGGUAGAAAGAUAAUUUGAAGAAGAAAUAAACAUUCAACUUUCUUCUUUACCUAAUCUUUUGUUGCUUUCUAAAAGAAUAAUAAAUCUAGACCAUCCAAUAAAUUUCCUAUGAUGAUAAAUCAACAAAAAUAUAUAAUUAUCCUUUUUUUCUCAUAAUAAUCUGGCUUAUCUAAUGAGCUAAACAAGGUUGAUAAAUAGCAUUUGACUUUCUUUCUCGGAAACUGUUCCUUGGGUGAUGAUAUCUCGACCGAGUUUUGGCCUAGAAUAAAUAUAUAUAUAUUAAGCAGGAUGCAUUUCAUGGGUCGAGAGACCAAGUCGAAGUAAACGGUGGGUUUCCUUCUUCCCACUAGCAUGUCCCCAUUUUUAUGGAUUCCUCUGCCAAAUUGAAUUGGCUGCUGCAGUAGGGGAGCUCCGAACCAACUCCGUGCCUUGGACAAAUCAAGAGGUGGAAGGAACAAGGCAAGCAGGUGAAGACGUUCGCUUGGUCAACCGUGUGCUUCUUCUUGUGUUGCUCGGAGAAAAAACCUGCUCUCCUCGCCUCCCUGACCAAGUCUCACGUAUACCUACCCACCUACAAACAACUCCUGUAAAAUAUAUUCCGAUGGUCCAUAGUUUAGUGACGCCAUGAGGCUGUCAAGGAGCAGCUUUGGAGCUCCAUGUAAGUCGACGGGUAUUCGCUGGUGUGCAUAAGAAAUCUCUGCUUUCUUUCUUUCUUUCUUUCUUGUGAAAGAGGAGAAGACCGAGGGCUGCACCGGCUGCGGAGAUGGUGAACCAGAUGAAGCUGUUCCGGAACGCCGGCCAGUCGCAAAGAUUCAGAUUCGUGGUGCUCGUCAUAGGAUGCUUUCUGGUCUCCAUGACCUUCAUAGUGGUGUCUAGACCACUCACUUUCCCC
rnacentral:lncRNA from 1 species